GGUGGUGGCCGUGGAACUGAGCGAGGUCAAGAAUUAAGAGCAGAAAGGGAAACAACCGUUGAAAAAAGACCAGGACCGAGAGUACCACACCUACUUAAGAAUUUAUUAUGACCCAUUGAUUUGCCUGGCAGGCUAUUAUUUGAGUUCCAGCGACUCCGUGAAAUGGCACAUUGGGUUAAUAUGUAUCAGGAGAUCGUGGUACUUCGUGACGAAAUAGAGGUUCAAAGAAGACUAGUCGAAUACUGGGAAGGGCGAUUGAGGCACGAGUAUUCCGAAAAGAUUGAGCUCUUGCACCAGAACUUAGAGCUAAAAAGGGAAUACGAAGGGAGUUCCGAAGAGGCUUUAGCAAUGGCACAAAGCACUGCUGCUAUGGGGGCUCCAGAGGAAGCUCAAAGGGCAGGAAUUGUAAGGCCACAGGGGAUGAUCUUCCAUGCCAAGAAAAGGGGCAAGAAAAGGGGUAAAUUGCCAGAACAGGGUGAGCAAGGUAGGCCCUUGGCGAAGAAGGGUCGUGGAGCGAGGGGUGUGACAAUUCUGGAGACACUUAAGGAGGAUACGCCGGGAGGAAACUCAAGGGGAAAAGAGCCACUGAGGGAUAUCUCACAAGGAGAUCAGACCCCAAUUCCUCUCCCAUAUUGUGGCUAUUGUAGAAAAUCCAAUCAUUUUGAAGAGAAUUGUUGGAAAAGAGGAGGGAGAUGUCUGUGUUGUGGGAGCGCCGAGCAUCGAAUUGCUCAUUGCCCGAGUAAAGUUCGUGAAAAGAAAGGAACCCAGCAACCAACCAAGACCGACCCUGGACCGUCAAGUGGAAAAGGGACUGGAAUGAAGAAUCUCGUUUCUUCUGACUCUGAAGCCGAAGAAGGUACAGGCCAUUGGUUACUUUAAAUUUGAAAAGUAAAAUUUCGAGGGCAAAAUUCUUUUAAGGGGGAGAGAGUGUGAGAGCCCGUAUUUCCCUAAUAUUUUUUCCCUAGGGUUUUUUUUUCCUUUAAUGGCAUGUUUUCUGCAUUUUCUGGCUUAGAAAUAUUUUCUUGGGGGAUUUUAUGAGCAAUUAUAGUUUUUAGAUAAUUUUUCUAGUAUUGGAGAGUUUUUAGAAAAUUAAGAAUAUAUAUUGGACGUGGGACCCACUAGUGCGAAAAGUUCGGAAAAAUUCGGUCAAUAAGGUUAAGUUUCGGAUACUGUAUAAACUUUAUCGGGUGUUACGAGAUAAGUAGAGUGUAUGAUAUGAUUGAUGUGAGAGGAAAAGAAAAGGAUUGACAUGCAUUAAUGGGGUGCCACGUGUCACUUGGUGGUUGGUUGGACUUUACGGUUUACUAUUCACAUUUUUGACUUUUUUGACCAAAGGUUAAAUAUCUUCAAAAUUCAUUAAAAUUUCCUCAUUCUUUCUUCACCAUAGCCGGCCCUCUCAAGCUCCAAAAGGAAGAGAACUCCAUCAAUUUUCAAGCUUCUACUUGGUGCAAAUCACCCAAAAACAUUAGCUUACAUCCAUUUUACUCCAUAACAUCUUUCCUUUUAGUGAUAGUGAGUGGUCUAGUGAAGUUGUUUUGAAGAGCCAAGGUGUCCACAAUCCCUAUCUCUCUUGUUACUUGGUAAGUGAUGCUAGAACACUCUACUACACCUAAUGAUGUUUAUAUUAUGCUUAGAAGUAGCUUGAGUGAUGGAAUAUGUGAUUUAUUUCUUGAUUUGAAGAGUUUUGGUGAAGUUUUCCAUUUUAUGAUGAAUUUUCUGGUUUAAUAUGAAUGGGAUGUUGUGGCCCUGUAUGAUGAAUGGUAAUGGUUUAAAAUGACUCUAGUAGGUGUGAAUUGUUGAUUAAUGCAAUCAAUUUUGGAUUUGGAUGGAAAAAUGGAAAGUUAGGGUUCAUGAACCCCUCAUCUGUCCGCAAUUUUAGGUCAUAGAUAGAGGCCGAAUUGGCCUUAGCUCAAAACAUGAAAGUUGUAGGUAUUGAUGAUUUUGAAGUGCCUACAAAAUUUCAGGUCAUUUGGAUUAGUGUAGAGUGAGUUAUGUCGGAAUUACUGUAGCUGUUCUGCUUUGGUCAGAAUGCGAAAACUGCGUUGGUAUUUGGCUAUUUUGACUGGAAUUGGUUUGGAUUUUGAAGUUAGUGUCUUCUGAUGAAAUGUAUCUGGAUGUCUUAGAUAACAUAUUCCUUUGGAAUUUCGGCAUUUGGACUUGUAUAGGCUGAGUUAUACCGAUUACAGUUUUGUGUGUUUUGCAAACCUGUUUUAGUAAUUCUGGUAUAGUAUUCUGCAUUUUUGACCUAGUUGUGCUAGGAUUUGGAUUGAGUGGCCUUCUACAUUGUUGUAACCCUGUCUUUUAGCUUCGAUAUGGUGGGUCUUACACCCUCAUCCGAUAAGCGUAGCGCAUUUUGUGUCAUUACCGCCAAAGUAUGACGAAAACUGUUUUUUUGGUAAGGCCUAAGCUAAUGCCAUUUCUUAAUUUCUGGUUGCCUAUGAUGCUUAUUUAUGCAUAUGAAACCCUAUUAGGGUUAAAAUUGGUAUGGCUUUAUGACUCGUUAUCGAGUCUCCAUGUACUUGUUUGCAUGUUUAGGGCUCGCUCUCAUUCCGGUCUUUUCCUAGCUAACUUUUGUACUUGUACUACUUUGAGCCUAGUGAGCGGCUUUUGGUAAAUGAGAUGACUUUUGUGUGAAAUGUUGGGACUGAUUUGAGGAUAUAAUGAAGCCUUAAUGGCUGGAAAAGUAAGAAUUUUAGGGGAGGUGCUGCCCGAUUUUCUAGGCCAUUUGGUUCCUUUAAGUUGGAUCUGCCUUUUGGGUAGAAAUAAAAAGGGCUUUUGGGUUUUUGAACCUAGGUCUUUAUGCUAUCUUUUUGUUCCCAAAAAUUAUGUUUUGUACCCUUGCAUUAGUAAUUAUUUGGCGAGGCAUACGACUAGUAGUCGAGCCUCAUGUGCAUUGUGUUUACUCGAUUACGGAUGUGAAACCUUCAAUUGGUUUAUUUUGGUUAUUUUAGGGUUUCUUGGCGAUUAAGGCCAAUCUGAAGUAAAACCUUUUGAAGUUGAGCCGGUGAGUGUACCACUCCCCUCCAUUGCUGUUUAACUUGAUUUCUGCUCUGCAAUCUGUUUAUUUGUUCGAGACGAGGGUGUACUUUAUCACACUCGUUCUCUAGUCUGUUCAUAUGCCAAUUUACCAUGCAAAAUUUGAAUCUGUUAUCUGUGUCUGCAUCUGUUCGGAUUUCUAUGACCCACGAGCUCAAUCCUGUGGCUAAGUUAUUCGAGUCGGGCCGGCAAGGGCUUGGACGAUUAGAUAACGAACCACGGUAGUCUGUUCGGGGAUUUUGGGUAUUGAGACCCUUGAUUCCGGGUAUACUCGAGUAUUACCAUUUUUGUUCGUUUGAGAUGAGCGGGCCCGGUAAAGGGGUGUUUGGUGGACGGAAUUCGGUGCGAAGUGGGUCUACGGACGCGUUGGUUCUAUAUACGUUGACGGAGAGUCAACCGGUUUGGAUCAAGUACUGAGCUGGAAAUUUGGCUCCUGAGAGCCACCUGUAUCCUUCCUAUGUGAAUCAUUAGUUACUUUACUUUACAUCUGGCAUGUGUAUCUGAUUUGUUAAAUGUGAAAUGCCAUGAUUUUUCUGCUAUAUGUUUGGUACCUCAUUGAGCGCAAGCUCACCCCUUUCUGUUCUUUUUUUUGUUUUCCUUCCAGGAAAAUAAAUACUUUUGGACUGGAUUUGAUAAAUGGCUGCCAAAUUGAGCUAGUUGAACAUAUCUUUUGUAUAGCUCAUGUAUUAAAAUCGUAAAUGUACUUUUGGGAACUGUUUUCCUUUUGAUUUGGCAAACCAGACAUGUAUCCACUUUUGAAUACUUUUGUAUGCCACUUUGGCUUGUAAAUGCUAAGUUUCAAGAUGGGAAUGUUUGCUUGGUAUUUGGUUGGGUUCUGACGGGUCGGUUACUAUUCAUAGCCGACUUCGAUUUUAUUUUAUUUUUUUAUUUAUUUUACCCGCGUUGGUCAGUUUCGGGAUGUUUUAGCUCGUUCUAUACCGAACCGUUAGUCCUGGCGAGAGCUGGGCAGGCGGUCCGCCGAACCCUUUGGUUCGCCCUAGGGUAAGGUGGGGCUGUCACAAUUCCCCUCCUCUUGAAAGACGAUUUGUCCUCAAAUCAAGUGCUUGCGUACAAAGGAGUAACUCGGAGAAUGUCUUGAUAAAUGCAAUCCAAGAAGCAUGUCGCCAAGUCAACUUGAUUAUGAACACGAACCAUUGCACAUGCUCCAUUUGUCAAAGAAUAUCUUCACCCAAUUGUACUUGGCUAGAAUUUGGAAGUUCAGUUUGGAACUCAAUUUUUGGAUUUUGGCAGCUGAUAAUAUGAACCAAGUCUAACAAGAAUUAGAAAUCAAGAAUUUGGAAACAAGAUUCCAAAUCCUUCUCAAUUUACAAAUCCAACGCAAGGUUGCCUUUUCUUGUCUUUGUUUGUCCGAAUUGCUCUCCUGAAAAGGGAUGACAAGUGGCGGCCUAACUCCCUAAAAUAUAGGAAGAGAUGGCCGAAUGUGAGGAUAAGAUGAAUGGGCUAAGGACAACCCUAAAAAGUAGGAGAAGUGGUGGCUAAAAUGUAGGGAUAGGUCUUUGUAGCGGGUUAGGAAACUGGGUUGGGAGUGUUUUGGGAAUGGUUAGAUCGGUAGGUUCUUUGGAAAUCAACCAAUAUUUGGAAAUCAACCAAGAUUUGGCAAUCAAUCAAGAUAUCAAUCAAGAUGUGGAAAUCAAUCAAGAUAUCAAUCAAGAUUUGGAAACCAAUUAGGAUUUGGAAAUCAAUCAAGAUAUCAAUCAAGAUUUGGAAACCAAUCAGGAUUUGGAAAUCAAUCAAGAUUUGGAAACCAUUCAAGGCAAGGCUGCCUUUUUUUUUUUUCCUUCUUUCUUCUUUUUUUUGUUUUUCUAACUUGCCAAUUCAAGAAAAUAAGGUAGCCGCGCUUCAAGAUUCAAGAGGAUGAUUUUUAGGGUUUUCAAAGUAUCAAGAUUUUUUUUUUUCAAGAGCCCACUAUGCAAUCCAAGAACUUCAAGAAAUUACCAAACCAACUACAAGAAACAAACACAAGGGCAAAAAAAAAAAAAAAUUCGGAUGAACAGUACUGCUACAGUCAUGAACAGUCCCGAUGAGCAGUACCGCCGUGAACAGUUCCGAAAUUUUUUUUUUUUUGCUUUUGACGACUCAACACAAGGUUACGACUUUACUUAGAAGAAAUUUAAUGGGAGUUAAACCCUUGAAAAACCUGUUUUCAAGAACGUAAUCACACCAAAAAAUUCCAACCUCGAUCAAUCACAGGAUAUGUCACGACCCCACCUCCCCCUAAGGCGAACCAGAGGGUUCGGCGGGCCGCCUGCCCAGCUCUCGCAGGGACUCAGUCGAUCACUACAGUCCUCAAACAAAUACAAGAUAAAGUCUCAAAUAAAAAUCAAAUAUUCCAACAUUUACAUAUCAAAAGCGAAGCGUCCACGCUUCCACUGCCACUCUGAUCCUUGAUCACAAUUAUUAUACAGGAGGAAGUCCAAAUCUUGACUAUUACACAUCCAAUCAAUUCUAAACGUUCAAUACAAUCCCGAUAUGAAUGAUUACACAAAAGGAAUCCAAGUUCAAUCCAUACAUGAGAUAAUCCAUGAAUAAACACUACAAGCCACUCCUUCGCCUUGAGCCCUGUGGAGGGGAAUAAAACAUUUUGGGGUGAGCUAGAAGCUCAGCGAGUAACCAGUAAAAUCAGUUAUCAAAUCAGUUUCACAAUCGUUCAUUUCAAUAAUGUCAUUUCAAUAUGGAGUAUCAAUAAUUCAAGAAACAUUUACAAUGGAAAGCGAUAGUAACAUUCAUGAAAAGGAUAUGUUCGUUCUCCUGUCAUUUCAUUGCAUUUUGGUUUCAUUCGUGCAUUCAUUCACCCCGUCCCUGGCUUUUGGCCAGGCUCCACCAACCUACAAGGUAAUACUCGAGUAUACCGAAACGUUCACCCAAGUUCCUAGUCGCCCGACCGAGUCCGCUUCUGGCUCGAGACGACCGGUAACAAGGGGCAAUGGCCAGUUCAGGCCAAAAGGCUUACAUUCAUGCGCAAGUAGCAUUUAAUCAUUAAUCAUUGAAAAUUUCAUAUUUAUUUAGGUCGAGUGCGAUAAAGUACACACUCACCUAAAAAACUCGUUUUAACAAUCAUUGAAAGCAAAAUCAAUAAUAACAAGACACUGAUAUGCAAGCACGCAUGAUAUGUAAGAAAACAGUUCCAAAAUUAACUUUGAAAACAGUUCAAAAGUAAAUAAUGCAAGAAAUGGUUCAUAAAUAAUUUUAGAAAUAGUUUGAGGUCACUCACCUCCACGGCCCUGAAACCAUCCAUCGUAUAGCAUUGCCUUGCUCAAAUCAAGUCUUAGAUCACAUAAACUCAAUGCAACAAGUCCCUUCAAGUCCCUCGGGACAGCACUUCCACUGAAUUUCGCUGAACUUUUCCAGGCCAUCAUGCUUCAUUAUUGUCCUCAUUUCAUCCCAAAGGCUACACACACAACAACAUGUUUCAUCCAAUAGCCAUUUCAGCAGUGCUCCAAGUAGUACUAGUACACAGUCAAGCUAGGGAAAAGUCCGGAAAUGAAGUUUCAAUGCUCAAAACCAGAAAAAUAGUUUUGACGUCAUUUUGCGGUAAUGGUACCAAAGGCACAUCGAGUAUCGGAUGAAGGUACAAGAUACACCGUUUCGAAGCUAAAAGACAGGGCUACAACAUUGUAGAAGGUCACUCAGUCCAAAUCCCAACACAACUAAGUCAAAUAUGCCAAAUAACAAAACAGAACCGUAAUUGCAGGUUUACAAAUUACACUAUGCUGUAAUCAGUACAACUCAGUCUAAACAGGUCCAAAUGCAGAAAUUCCAAAGGUAUAUGGUAGCUAGGACAUCAAGAUACAUUUCAUCAGAAGACCUCAACAACCAAAUCCAAGCAAUUCCAGUCAAAACAACCCAUUACAGGCGCAGUUCUUACAUCCUGAUGAACCCAGAACAGCAACAGUAAAUUCGGCUUAUCUCAUUCUACACUACUGCAGUUGCCCUGAAAUUUUACAGGCACCCUUAAAACAUCAAUACCUACAACUUUCAUGUUUUGAUCCAAGGCUAAUUCGGCCUCUAUCUAGGACCAAAAAGUUUGGACAGAAUGAAGAACCAAGAACCCUAAUUUUCCAGAUUUCUUCCAAAACAGAAUUUACUUGCAAUCUUCCACUUUUUCCACCUUCUAGAAUCAUCAACUAUCAUUUCCAAUCAUCAUACAUAACCACAUAAUAACAAUCAUAUGAGAACAGAAAAAUCCUAAUUAAAUAUAAAACUUCACUUAUUUCAACCUAAAUCAUGAAAUCAUCCAUAAAAUCACUUAUUCAACCACCACCAAUCACUAAUUGAACAUUAUCAAGAUCAAAGGAAAGGUUCCUUAGUCACUUACCAUGCAAACCCAAGGAAAGACCCAACUUAGCACCUUUGCUUCUCAAACCACUUCACCACACACCUUAAUACCACCAAGAGAAAGGAUUUUAUGGAGCAAAUCACGGUUUUAACGGUUGGUUUGUGAGAUUGGGCAAGAAAUAGAAGGAAGAAAUUGGAAGCUUUUCUCUCUUUUUGUCUCCAAGAGGUUCGGCCAAGGAGCUUAUGAAGAAGAUGAAUUUUGGUUCAACGUUUUUAAUCAGAUUAUAAAGGUAGUAAAAAUGCGUCAAAAGUCCACCCUUGAGUAAGAAAGUGAGACACUUGUCACCUUUAGGAUUUAAAAACUUAUCUUUUUCGUUCUCUCCAUACAAAAUUCUUAACACAUUGUACAAUAAUAUCACUUAAUACAAAAUUCCAACAAGUUGUCAAAAAUAUAAUGCAUUUACCGCACUUGCGGGUCCCACGUUCAAAAUACGCUCUUAAUUUCUCAAAAACUAACCGACACUAGAAAAAUCAUUUUAAAACUAUCUUUGCUCAUAAACUUUAUCUGGGGAAUUUUUCGAAUAAAGAAAAUGUAGAAAAGGCGGGCGAUUAAAAAAAAUAAACCCUAGAAAAUUAGAAAAUUAGAAAAUUUCCGGGUUCUCAAACUCUUUUUUUUUUUCGGGGCGUCACAAUCUCCCCUCCUUAAAAGAAUGUCGUCCUCGACAUUCCCUCUUGUACCAAUCAAGUCAGGACAUCCCGCAAAAAUCUCUCAAGAGUCAAAUCAAACCCACAGUCCGGCAUCCUAAACUUCAAGCCUAGGAUACACUACAAAGAUCUGAAGCCUAAGCUCUGAUACCACUUGUCACGGCCCCACCUCCCCCUAAGGCGAACCAGAGGGUUCGGCGGGCCGCCUGCCCAGCUCUCGCCGGGACUCAAUCGAUCACUACAGUCCUCAAACAAAUACAAGAUAAAGUCUCAAAUAAAAAUCAAAUAUUCCAACAUUUACAUAUCAAAAGCGAAGCGUCCACGCUUCCACUGUCACUCUGAUCCUUGAUCACAAUUAUUAUACAGGAGGAAGUCCAAAUCUUGACUAUUACACAUCCAAUCAAUUCUAAACGUUCAAUACAAUCCCGAUAUGAAUGAUUACACAAAAGGAAUCCAAAUUCAAUCCAUACAUGAGAUAAUCCAUGAAUAAACACUACAAGCCACAACUUCGCCUUGAGCCCUGUGGAGGGGAAUAAAACAUUUUGGGGUGAGCUAGAAGCUCAGCGAGUAACCAGUAAAAUCAGUUAUCAAAUCAGUUUCACAAUCGUUCAUUUCAAUGAUGUCAUUUCAAUAUGGAGUAUCAAUAAUUCACGAAACAUUUACAAUGGAAAGCGAUAGUAACAUUCAUGAAAAGGAUACGUUCGUUCUCCUGUCAUUUCUAUUGCAUUUGGUUUCAUUUCUGUGCAUUCAUCACCCCGUCCCGUGGCUUUUGGGGCAGGCCCACCAACCUACAAAGGCUAAUACUCGAGUAUACAGAAACGUUCACCAAAGUUCACUAGUCUGCCCCGACGAGCUCCGCUUCAUGGCCUCGAGUACGACCGGUAACAAGGGCAAUGGCCAGCUUCAGGCCAAUAAGGCUUACAUUUCCCAUGCGCAAUGUAGCAUUUAAUAUUAAUCAUUGAAAAUUUUCAUAUAUUUAGGUCUGAGUGCGAUAAAAGUACACACUCGCCUAACAAAACUGCGUUUUUAACAAUCAUUGAAAGGCAAAAUCGAAUUAAUAACAACCAAGCACACUGAUAUCUGCAACACGCCAAUGAUAUGCUAAGGAAAAACAGCUUCCAUAAAGUAACUUUUUGAACAACAGUUUUUCAAAAGUAAAUAAUGACAAGAAAAUGCGUUCAUAAAUAAUUUUACGAAAUAGUUUGAGGUCACUCACCUCCACGGCCCUGAAAACCAUCCAUCGUAUACGCAUUGCCUCCCUGCUCAAAUCCAAGUAACUUAGAUCACAACUCAAUAGCAAAACAAAAGUCCCUUCCCACAACGUUUCGGACAGCACUUCCCUGAAUUUGCUCAACUUUUCCAGCCAUCAUGGCUUCAUUAUUUCCUCAUUUUCAUCCAGGUACACACACACAAACAAGUUCAUCCAAUAGCAUUCAGCAGCUCCCAAGUAGUACUAGUUACAAGCUCAAGUAGGCGAAAAGUCACCGGAAAUGUAAAGUUAAGCUCAAAAUCAGAAAAAUAGUUUUGACCGGUCAGUUUUGCGGUAGAAUGGGUUUAUACCAAAGCACAUCGCACGACUAUUCAGUCUAUCCCAUGCGUACCAACCGCGGAUGGCAUACCACUAUAGUUCAAGAACCUCGUAGCAAAAGACACAGGCCAAAGUGAGAAGGUCACUCAGUCCAGAAUCCCAUACACAACUUAAGUCAAAUAUGCAAAUAACAAAACCAGAACCGUAAUUGCAGGUUACAAAAUUACACUAUGCUGUAAUCAGUACAAACUCAGUCUAAAACAGGUCCAAAUGCCAGAAAUUCCAAAGGCAUAUGCGUAGAUAGACACAUCCAAGCUACAUUUCAUCAGCAGACCUCAACAACAAAUCCAAAGCCAAUUCCUAGUCAAAACAAACCCAUUAACAGCGUGCAGUUCUUACAUCCUGAUGCCAACAGAACAGCAACAGUUAAAAUUCGGCCUUAUCUCAUUCUACCACUACUUCCAUAUUGCCCUGAAAUUUUUUGCAGGCCACCAUACAAACAUCACAUACUGCAACCUUCAUGCUUUUGAUCAAGGCCAAUUCGGCUCUAUCUAGGACCAAAAAUUUUCGCGACAGAUAUGGAAAGAACAAGAACCCUAAUUUUUCCGAUUUCUUCCAAAACAAAUUUCCUUAGCAAUCUUUCCACUUUUUCCACCUUCUAGAAUCAUCAACUAUCAUUUCAAUCGAUCAUACAUACCACAUAACUAAAAAACAAAUCAUAUGAGGAACAGAAAAUUAUCCUAAUUAAAUAUAAAACUUCACUAAUCUUCAACCUAAAUCAUGAAAUCAUCCAUUAAAAUCACUUAUAUCAACCACCACAAAUCAGUCUAAUUGAUACUAUCAGAUCAAAGGAAAGGUUCCUUAGUCACUUACCAUGCAAACCCAAGGAAAGGCCCAACUUAGCACCUUUGCUUCUCAAACCACUUCACCACACACCUUAAUACCACCAAGAGAAAGGUUUUUAUGGAGCAAAUCACGGUUUUAACGGUUGGUUUGUGAGAUUGGGCAAGAAAUAGAAGGAAGAAAUUGGAAGCUUUUCUCUCUUUUUGUCUCCAAGAGGUUUGGCCAAGGAGCUUAUGAAGAAGAUGAAUUUUGGGUCAAGUUUUUAAUCAAUUAGUAAAGGUAGUAAAAAUGGUCAAAGUCCACCCUUGAGUAAGAAAGUGACACUUGUCACCUUUAGGUUUAAAACUUAUCUUUUUGUCUCUCCAAUACAAAUAUCUUAACACAUUGUACAAUAAUAUCACUUAAUACAAAAUUCCAACAAGUUGUCAAAAAUAUAAUGCAUUUACCGCACUUGCGGGUCCCACGUUCAAAAUACGCUCUUAAUUUCUCAAAAACUAACCGACACUAGAAAAAUCAUUUUAAAACUAUCUUUGCUCAUAAACUUUAUCUGGGGAAUUUUUCGAAUAAAGAAAAUGUAGAAAAGGCGGGCGAUUAAAAAAAAUAAACCCUAGAAAAUUAGAAAAUUAGAAAAUUUCCGGGUUCUCAAACUCUUUUUUUUUUUCGGGGCGUCACAAUCUCCCCUCCUUAAAAGAAUGUCGUCCUCGACAUUCCCUCUUGUACCAAUCAAGUCAGGACAUCCCGCAAAAAUCUCUCAAGAGUCAAAUCAAACCCACAGUCCGGCAUCCUAAACUUCAAGCCUAGGAUACACUACAAAGAUCUGAAGCCUAAGCUCUGAUACCACUUGUCACGGCCCCACCUCCCCCUAAGGCGAACCAGAGGGUUCGGCGGGCCGCCUGCCCAGCUCUCGCCGGGACUCAAUCGAUCACUACAGUCCUCAAACAAAUACAAGAUAAAGUCUCAAAUAAAAAUCAAAUAUUCCAACAUUUACAUAUCAAAAGCGAAGCGUCCACGCUUCCACUGUCACUCUGAUCCUUGAUCACAAUUAUUAUACAGGAGGAAGUCCAAAUCUUGACUAUUACACAUCCAAUCAAUUCUAAACGUUCAAUACAAUCCCGAUAUGAAUGAUUACACAAAAGGAAUCCAAAUUCAAUCCAUACAUGAGAUAAUCCAUGAAUAAACACUACAAGCCACCCCUUCGCCUUGAGCCCUGUGGAGGGGAAUAAAAUAUUUUGGGGUGAGCUAGAAGCUCAGCGAGUAACCAGUAAAAUCAGUUAUCAAAUCAGUUUCACAAUCGUUCAUUUCAAUGAUGUCAUUUCAAUAUGGAGUAUCAAUAAUUCACGAAACAUUUACAAUGGAAAGCGAUAGUAACAUUCAUGAAAAGGAUACGUUCGUUCUCCCUCAUUUCAUUGCAUUUAGGUUCAUUCGUGCAUUCAUCACCCCGUCCUGGCUUCUUGCCAAGGCUCCACAACCGCUACAAGUAAUCGUCGAGUAUACCGAAACGUCACCCAAGUUCCAUAGGGAUCGCCGACCGAGUCCGCCCGUUCUGAGCUCGAGACGACCGUAACAAAGGGCAAUGGGCCAGUUCAGGCCAAAAGCUUACAUUCAUGCGCAAGCGUAGCAUUUAAUCACAUUAAUCAUUGAAAAUUCAUAAUUUAUUUAUGUCGAGUGCGAUAAAUACAGCAACUCGCCUAAAAAACUCGUUUUAACAAUCAUUGAAAGCAAAAUCAAUAAUACUAGACACUGAUAUGCAAGCACGCAUGUAUGUAACCGAACAUUUCCAAAAGUAACUUUGAAAACAGUUCAAAAGUAAAUAAUGCAAGAAAUGGUUCAUAAAUAAUUUUAGAAAUAGUUUGAGGUCACUCACCUCCACGGCCCUGAAACCAUCCAUCAUAUAGCAUUGCCUUGCUCAAAUCCAAGUCUUAGAUCACAAACUCAAUGCAAACAAGUCCUUUCAAAAUUCGGACAGCACUUCCUCUUUUCUUUCUUUACUUUUCCAGCCAUCAAGGCUUCAUUAUUUCCUCAUUCCAACCCAAAGGUACACAACAACAAGUUCAUCCAAUAACCAUCCAGCAAGCUCUAAGUAGUACUAGUACAAGUCAAGCUAGGGAAAAGUCCGGAAAUGAAAGUUAAGCUCAAAACCAGAAAAACAGUUUUGACGUCAUUUUACGGUAAUGGUACCAAAGACACAUCGAGUAUCGGAUGAAGGUUCAAGAUACACCGUUUCGAAGCUAAAAGACAGGGCUACAACAUUGUAGAAGGUCACUCAGUCCAAAUCCCAACACAACUAAGUCAAAUAUGCCAAAUAACAAACCAGAACCGUAAUUGCAGGUUUACAAAUUACACUAUGCUGUAAUCAGUACAACUCAGUCUAAACAGGUCCAAAUGCAGAAAUUCCAAAGGCAUAUGGUAGAUAGAACAUCAAGCUACAUUUCAUCAGAAGACCUCAACAACCAAAUCCAAAGCAAUUCCAGUCAAAACAACCCAUUACAGGUGCAGUUCUUACAUCCUGAUGAACCCACAACAGCAACAGUAAAUUCGGGCUUUAUCUCAUUCUACAUACUCAAUGCCUAAAUUUUACAGGCACCCCUUAAAACAUCGGAAUACCAACAACUUUCAGGUUUUGAAUCCAAGGCCAAUCGCGCCUCAUAUCUAGCGACCAAAAUGUCGCGACAGAAUGAAGAAUCAAACCCUAAUGUUCCGAGACUUCUUCCAACAACAGAAGUUUCCUUGCGAAUCUUCCACUUUUUCACUUCUAGAAUCUAUGCAACAUCAUUCCAAUCAUCAUACCAUAACCACAUUAAUAACAGAUCAGAUGAGAACAUAAAAAAAUCCAAUUAAAUAUAAACUCACUAAUUUCACCGUAAAUUCAUGCAAUCAUCCAUAAAAUCACCUUACAACCACACAAUCACUAAUUGAACAUUUAUCAAGAUGCGAAAGGAAAAGCGUUCCUUACACGCUUACCAGUUUUGCCAAACCCAAGCGAAAGACCCACAGCUAGCACCAUUUGCUUCUCAAACCACUUCACCACACACCUUAAAUACCACAAAGAGAAAGUUUAUGGAGCAAAUCACGGGUCUUAACGGUUGGUUUGAGAUUGGGCAAGAAAUAGAACGAAGAAAUUGGAGUUUUUCUCUGUUUGUCUCCAGAGGUUCGGCCAAGGCAGCUUAUGAAGAAGAUGAAUUUUGAGUCAAGUUAAUUCAAUAGUAAAGGUAGCUAAAAAUGGUCAAAUCCACCCUGUAAGAAGGGACACUUGUCACCUUAGCGUUUAAAACUUUACUUUUUGUCUCCUCCAAUACAAAUAUCUUAACCAAUUGUACAAUAAUAGCACUUAAUACAAAAUAUCCAACACCCAGUGUCCAAAAAAAAUUAAUGCAUCUUACCGCACUUGCGGGUCCCACGUUCAAAAUACGCUCUUAAUUUCUCAAAAACUAACCGACACUAGAAAAAUCAUUUUAAAACUAUCUUUGCUCAUAAACUUUAUCUGGGGAAUUUUUCUAAUAAAGAAAAUGUAGAAAAGGCGGGCGAUUAAAAAAAAUAAACCCUAGAAAAUUAGAAAAUUUCCGGGUUCUCAAACUCUUUUUUUUUUUCGGGGCGUCACAGGAUAGGUUAGAUUCAAGUGAUAAAAUCAAGAGAACAAGAAUCAAAAUUUAUUUUUUUGUUUCUUUUAAAUCAAAAGGCGGCUAGGGUUUUGGUAGAAAAAUAAAUAGAAGAAAAAAAAAGAAAAGAAAAGGUUAUUAACCUGAAUCAAGAGCCGAAGCUCUGAUACCAGAUGAUACGAACUCGACCCAGCAAGAACCUGUCUUGAAGAACCAAGUCGAUCAGGCAGCGGAAGGAUCUAUCUUGAUCAGGCUAUGGAACAAUAACUACCAUACUAGACCUAAAGAGAACCCGUCUCUCCAAACCUAGUGGAUUGGUUAUUGGUUAUGGAACAAUAACUACCUUACUAGACCUAAAGAGAACCCGUCUCUAAAAACCUAGUGGAUUGGUUAUUGGCUUGAAAGAACAAGAUGAUGUGAUCAUCUUGCCUUGAACACCACAAGUAUCCAAGCUAAAUACUUGAUAUUGUUCAAGGAGAAACGCAAGUUCCAUCAAGGAACUCCAUAAAAGGAGACAACUCUCUUUUUAUUAAUUCAUCCUCCAUCUCCCCCAAUAGUUAAAUAAAGUUGGCUAUUUAUAGCCAUACAAGACUCAAAACCAUAAUCUAAAUUGGAAACAAUACAAGCUUCCUUAUUUGACUUGACACAACUUCCUAAAUAAAUUUGAAAGUAAUUAACUACUUUUCUAAAACUCUAAUUCAAUUAGAAUAGGAAACUAACUGACUCAAUUGGCUUAACUAUGGUCAACAUGACCUUAGCCUUUAUUUCCCUUAAUAACUCAAGACUAACUAACAAGUAUUGCUGGAACUUACUUAAAUAAAUAACAAGAAAUAAGCAUGACAAAUCUUCAAUGAUUCUUGAACCCGAUUGCACAAUCAACCAUCAAUCAAAUUUUCUUGAAUUUGAAGGGAAUCCAAAUCUUCAUGUUCUCAUCAUUUCCAAGUGUAAAAAGGAUGGCAAUUACUUAAAAUGAGAACUACAACUUUCGAGCUCACUAUUCUUUGAAUGCCAAAUCAAUAACACUAUAAUUCUUCAAUAUACGAUGUACAUGCUACAAAUCAUCCGAAUAUACAAGCCAAAGUACAAGCCAAAAGUAUGAGCUUGAACAACUAGUAUUAUAAUAUAGUAUCGGCCAAAUACAGGUUUAAAAUUCCUAAUGCAACUGGUGCUAUUUUUGUCUCUCUCAUCCCCGCAUCCUGUUAAGGAAAACAAAUAAAGGAAUGAGCUAACAGUCCAGUGAGGUUCCAAGAAAACAUGCAGUCAAAUUGGCAAGAUAUUUUCCACAUAACUCAAAACUUAGAAUGAAGAUAAUAAACAGUUACAAAUAAUGUCAUGGACCGUUCACACAUUCAGAUAAGUACUUUAACACCAGCAAGAAAAAGAAUACGGUACUGAUACAGUGGCUUCUGCCAGGUUCUAGGCAGAGCACCUAGGAUUCAAACAUUGAUACAGCUGAUAUGGUGGCUCCUGCUAGAAUUCAAGCGUAGCACUUAGUCCCGUACAGUGUUUCACUUGCAGCCAGUUCCGCAGCAACAUUUUCCAAGUCCGUUGACACUCCGUCAAUGUUUGAGAUAUAGUAACAAGUCCAGUAGAGCACCACUUAUCUCCAUCCACCCAUCAACCCCCUAUCGGGACCGAACACCAAAUAGAAAUAGUGGUGGUAAUACUCGAGUAUACCCAAGUAAGAACAAGUAUGAUCGAUGAAAUAACUCUCCAAUCAACUUAAUCAAGAUAGAGGUACUGAGACGGGAUGAGAGGCACCUCCUACUCAGAUUGAGUGUGGUACAUGCUACCGCUCAGCACUUACAAGUCAAACACAAGUACAGGUCAAUCAAGUUCAAGCAAAUACAAAAUCAUUCAAGAAGAGAAGGACGAGUGCGAAUAAGGACACACUCACCUAACCCUGACCAAGUUACAAAUAAUUCCCAGCAUGUCACAUUUCAAAGCAUUUCAAGUAUUUCAAGUCAAUAUACAGGUCACAUGCAAAUCAAGUUACUUGUACAUGCAUGAAUGAGAUAUCAAGUAUUUAGUCGAGUUAGGUCAACUGUUAUAAAGUACACACUCGCCUAUGAAAUGUCAAAUCAAGUAAUGUCUAGCAAACUUCUAGCAACAAUGAGCAGGGAACAUGCAGUUGGAACACUCACCGCGUUUAGAAAAGUUAACUUUCCUCGGUGAAAGGAUCCGCGGGUUCGCUUUCGAAACCUGUGAUCAAAUACAUAAGGUAAGUGAACUAAAAAGUUCACCAUUUUAAAACAUUUGGAUAAAGUAGUUGUGGCGACCCCACUUCCCCCUAAGGCGAACCAGAGGGUUGGCGGGCCGUCUGCCUAGCUCUCGCCAGGACUCACGCAAGCAAGCUAGCAAAAAUCCUUCCGAAGUAUAACCUAAUCUAUUACAAUAUCGUUUCCCUCCAAAUAGGCCGGUUUCUAGAAUCACAUUAACUUCAGAGAUAACAGUGCCUUAAGAUAGCCAACGUCGAUUCUUGAAAUACCUUCCCGAUUACAACCCAAGAAACAAAACAUACAAUUCAAAUACAUCCUUACAAGCCAAGUAACAAAUUCAUACAAGCCACAUACAAAUCCAGGGUUUACACUUUUCCCACUUCAAGUGGCAACCCAAGGCAAAACUACAUUGUUUAACUCGAAUUACAAUCCUAAAAGUAAACAAUCUAGUACUACUUCCGGACACCCUUAGUCUCAAACCCUGUAAAAGUAAACCACAACGUGGGAUGAGCUACACAGCCCAAUGAGGUUCCAAGACACUCUAACAGUUCAAACAAAUCAAGAAAGUUGUGCAUGUCAUAUGCAUGGUUCGAGGUUACACAAUGGCAGGUUAUCAUGAGGUGAUAAUCAUUACUCGGGUAAUUGCUACUUUGAAAACACAUGUAGUAGUAGUACUUUUGCUGGUAACUUUACUAUGAGUACAACUCAUAAAUUAUCUAAAAUCACUAACGUAUUUUUGGAAUGAAUGACCAUAUACAUAUAUUUUCAUGAAUUUUAGUCAAACAAAUAAUGGCUCGUCCGACUAGAAGAACAUUACAAGGAUUGCUUCGUCUCAGAGAUUAAUGCUCAUGAGGAGUCUUACCCGAGAAAUGUCGACUAGGAGAGCAAUAACAGUAUUAAUAGUAAAGCAAACACAAAAGGAUACAGUACUCGGUCCACUUCCCGUCCUUAUAACUCCCAUCGGUAACUCCUUCGGUUGACUGGCCAUCACCUUAUCCCUCCAGUGGUAGUACUCGAGUAUACCGAAACGGUUGUCCAGGGUUCCAACCUACCCGACCGAGCCCAGUCCUGGCUCGAGUAGGUCAGUAACCGAGGCAGGGCCCAAGUUCAGCUUAGAGCUUACAACAUGCACAGGUAACCAAGUAAUUCGACAAAAGGUAAAAUUCAUCAUUUGAGUAGGUCGAGUGAGGUAAAGUACACACUCGCCUAUCAAUGAUGGACAACUUCAUAUAACAUGUGAUUCAUGAUAAUCAAGUAAUCAAGUGGAUACUUAGCACGUAAGCACGUAAGCAAUACAAGUUGAUUUCAUGGAAGCAUGUAAUUCACGGAUAUCGAAUAGUCAUGUGGGUUGGUAAACGGUUCACGGUUCAUGGUUCACGGUUAACGGUUGAGUAGUGGCGGUUAUUUGGCAGGCAUUUGCCAUAUUAAUUGGCCAUCAUUGGCCGUUAUCUUAUUUUUAUCACGCGAGAGUCGAGGAGAUUCACAACACGUAAACUGGUCGAGGGAUUCACCCAACGACGUCACAACACGUAAGAUAUUCACGAAAAUAUUUCACACAAGUCACCAUUCGAAAGGCUAGUGUGAUAAAGUACACACUGCUCACUUCGAUGGAUCAAAAAUCAUUUUCCAAAUUAUCACAUAUCGAGUCAAGAAAGAACUUUAACCAAAUAAGCAUAGAACAAGCAGGGAUACUCAUUUUACAAAACCAAGUAGGUUAAGCAAGUAAUUUAGCAAAUUAAACAUGUAUCGAGUUCAUAUAGUCAUUUGAUAUGGUUAAUCAUUUAACCAAUUCCUGUUGGUAUACAAUGCAAGUAUUCAUUAUUUAUAUAGACAUGAGUAUGGUAAAAACUUAACACUUAAUAAUCAUGAAAUGAGCAUGUCCUAGACUUAUUCAAUUACGUGUUCCUAUAUGGAACACUCACCUAGCAACAAGAGCAAUAGGUUCAAUUUGAAGUUCAAGCGUCCUCUGUCGGAUCCUCUUGAAGGUCCUCGUGUGCGCCUGAACAAAUAGUAAUAGUCUAUCAUUUAUAAUCCCUACUAUUGAUGAAGAUCGUAUCAUAGUACAAUCUUAGGAAAAAAUCUCGUGAAACAAGCCUUAAUUAUCCUAAAUCGAGAUUCUCAAGCGGGGUUUCAAGGUACAAGAGAAAUUAAGUCUACAUCAUGAAAAUCAUGGAUAAAACAUUUGAAUAAUAUCGAAGGAAUAAGGAGUACUUGAAAAACUCCCUUCCGUGAAAUUCGGAAAAUUUUCAGUUUUGAUACGAUACUUUGAAAAAUCGUAUCUCACAUUCUACAUGUCAAAAUUAGAAAGAUUGGUACUAAUGGAAACCUCUUCCAAAGUACUAAAAGUUCCUAGAAUACACUUUUCUAAGAUUCCACAUGGAAAGCAUUCAAAAUAUUCAGUUAGCAAGUCUUUGCCAAACCUUGCAUCAAAUCUGUCUAAAAAUCAGGGUUUUCAAGGACAGAGCAGGUUUCAUAUUUUGAUCACAGAUCACUCAAAUUAACUCGGAAUUUGGCAUGGUUUAAGGCGUUGGAAAAAAAUUCAUAGAGCUAUAAUUUCACAGAAGAAAUCAUUAUGAAAUUCGGCACACAACUAGCUCGAAUUCGAGCCACAAGUUGCAGCCUCAGCAUUUUGUUCUUGUAAAACAGAGAAACAGAACAGCCGACUUAAAACGGUUGGUUUGGCUCACAUACAUGGAAUCAGAAUGUGCAUUUUAUAUCGUCGGAAAGGUUGGAAUGUCUAGUUUCAAAUUCCGCUGACGGCACUCGAUUUUGACAUCGGAGCUCAAAAUUAUGGCCAAAAUACGAAAGCUGGUCAGAGCAUUACAAAAACAGUUCCAGAUUUACUAGCUUUGUGAAAUCAUUUUAUUUGACCAACCAAAACUCAAUAUUUUUCAAUGAAACUUUGUACACCAUAUACUCAACAUAUAAACAUGAUAUACAAGUCAUGAAACCCUCAAAAUUUAGCACAAGAGUGGUGCGAUUAAAACAGGGCAAAACUGAACAUUUUUGAACUAUGCAUCCCUCGGCACCAUCAGAAAUUUUCCAGCACUUAGUUGGUCAUAGAACCAAUUUUUUCCUCGGUUAGAUCAUGGUAUUAAGUACUCAAAUCCAACAUGCAAAUACUUGACUAGCUAAUCAGAUCAUCCAAGUCAUUGUGGGAAUUCAUAGAGCCCACUCACCAAGUUUCCAUUAAAACUCAAAAGAGCCACCAUCGGCUAAGCUGGAAAAAAAAUUGCAGCAGCUAUGUUUCAACAUUUUUGGUCAAUUCAUCCAACGGAUCCAGUACUUUACAACUAAAUAUCUUACAAGACUUAAGACACAUAUAUUUCAUGCAUUUCUAAACAUUGUUUGCUAAUGAAAAAUUCCAGAAACAACUGCAAAUUUUUGUUUCACUCCCUUGGCAAGUCACGUAAAUUUUCCAGCAUUUACUCAGUCAUAAACAAAAUUUUCCUUCGGUUAAAACCUUGUAUUUGGCACUUAAAUCUCACAUGCACAACUACUGAACUAAUUAGCUAGCAUUUCCAGUCCAGAUUUGUUAUUCUUGGUUUUGAUGAUCACAAAAGUUUGUUGAAAUGUUUAUACAGUCCAAGAAAGUGAACACUUUGAUCAGGCCUGAUGGAACAAAGUAAGCAUAUGUUCGAUUAACUCCAGACUACGAUGCUUUGGAUGUGGCAAACAAGAUUGGAAUAAUAUAAACAAAUUUAGUCAUUGUUUUGUUCCGAUCAAAGAUACUGUCUUUUAAGUAUGACAAUUUUGUUAGUCUUGGUUCCUUGAAAUGUUUUAUCUAACUUUCUUCAAAUAUAAGUGUUGUUGCCUAUCAAAGAAUCAGGUACGAAUAUGUCGUGAGCAAAAACAGGACACUCAUGUCGGACGGCCGAAAGUAAUCUGUCGGAGGUCCGAAGGGAUGAAGAACAUCAGGAAGGAGUUUCUGUCGGACGCACAUCGAUCGUGUCGGACGUCCUAAAAAUUCCACAAAGCUUUGAUGACUCUCUGCCAAGACACUGUCGGACGCUCGCAAGGAAGCAUCGGACGUCCUGAAGGAUCGGACGCAUGCUUCGGACGAACAUCAAGAUCAUCGGACGUCCUAAAAAUUCCUCAAAGAUUUGAUAACUCUCUGGACGACGUUCGGACACUGAAGCUCGGACGAUAAAAUUCCAUCGGACAUCCGAACUUCAAUUUGGCUGAUUUUCGGACGAUUGGUUCGGACGAUAAUUUGAUCGUCGGACGUCCGAAAGCCCCAACGGCUAGCUGACUCUUCAUCUGCCUUCUAUCCGUUGGAAGCUUUAAUGAAGCCCAUUUUUGUUCCCCUUUAAAAACAAACUGUUCUGAACGAAGUAAGAACUUUUGCACACUUGGUCUACAAGAUCUCAAGAGAUAUUUUAGCUAGAAAAUAGUCUCCAAAGUUAGAUUUGUUCUCUAAGUGGUGUGAACUUCUUGUGGGCUUUUCUCUUGUGGUUGAAAGUUUCAUUAGUGUAGCUUUGUUGAGGGUUAUCCGAGUGUUUGUAAAACUUCUUAGCUUGACUAAGUGAGGCUUAGGGCAAGGAGGAAGUGCUCCCUCCAUUGUACAUCUAGUUGAUCAUAUUUCAUCAAAGAGAAGUUGCUCAACCUUGUGAUUGGUCUUCAAGUUUGAGGAAAGCUUGGUAGACAAUUGGUUUGAUUUCCUAUUAUUCUUUUUGUUUAAUAAAAUUCUCAUUGCUUAUAUAAACUUGUUUUUCUGAUCAAUCUUGCUAUUGUCUUCUAAUCUACUUGGUUGAUCUUUACUAGAAAAGAAGGUAAAUUUUUAUUAAAGAAAAAGUGCAUAAAUUUGGUUAGGAUUUUAAUCAACCCAAUUCACCCCCCCCUCUUGGUUGUCUUUGGGACUUACAAUUGGUAUCAGAGCUUGGUCUCUUUGAGAUUAAGCUCUAACGGCUUGGAGUAAAGAUGACAACCAGUCAUGCUAUGUUUGUUGAGGGGCAAUCUGUUACUAGGCCUCCCAUGUUCAGUGGCUCCAACUAUGUUAGCUGGAAAGAACGGAUGAUUAUCUUUUUGCAAUCUAUUGAUAUUGAACUAUGGUUUAUUGUGAGUGAAGGACCGCAUGAAGCUAACUUUCUUGAUGCAGAUACAGGGUUGCUUCGGCCAAAAAUGAGAGCUGAAAUGAAUGCUCAAGAUAGGACUAACCUCACAUUGAAUGCCAAGGCCAUGAAUGUUCUUUAUAGUGCCCUAGAUUCAAAUGAAUCAAUUAGAGUAAAAGGCUGCAAAUCGGCCAAAGAAAUGUGGGAUAAACUAAGAGAAAUCCAUGAGGGUGGUGACAACGUUAAAGAACAGAAAAAGGCUAUCUUGGUCACAAAAUAUGAAUCAUUUAGAAUUGAACCUCUUGAGGAUAUUGACAAAAUGUAUUGCAGGUUCACUGACUUGAUCAAAGAUCUCGAGGUGUUGGGCAAAGAGUACACCUUGGGAGAGAAGAACAGGAAAAUUCUCAAUGCGUUGGGCAAAGAAUGGGAAAAUAAAGUGACUGCAAUAGAGGAGGCUAAGGAUUUAAGUUCUGUGCCUAUUGAAUCUAUCAUUAACUCACUAACCUCUUAUGAGUUGAAACUGAAAUCUAAAGUGCAGGAGGAAGAGGAAGCUAGAGCAAAGAGAAACAUUGCUCUAAAAACUACUCAAGGUGAAGAUGAUACAGCUCACUUGGAUGAUGAAGACUCGGAUGGUGAUGAUAAUGAUCUUGCUCUCAUCACCAGAGGCUUCAAGAGAAUCUUGAAUAAAAGAAAGUUUAGAAGGGGAGGACCUAGCAAUCAAUUCCAGAAUCAGCCAUCUAUCGCAAAGUACAAAGGAAAACAGGAUUUCAACAAGAAACAGUUGGACAAAUGCUUCGAAUGUGGACAGAUUGGACACUAUGAAAACGAAUGCCCCAUGAAGAAGAUGAAAGAUGGAAAAGCUGAUCGGAAGCCAAGAUUCAACAACUUUCAGAUUACUUGGAAUGAAUGCAACUCCGAAGGGGAAGUAGAAGAAGAAGAAGAAUCAGCUCAAAUGGCCUUCAUGGCUAUUGGAAAUAAUGAGGUAACUUCCACACACUCUCAAUCUAAAAGUGAUGAUGAUGAAGAUGAUGAUCUUGAAUCCUUUGUUGAAAAACUGCAUAAUGCCUUGAAGGAAUCUUAUGAUAAAAACAAGCAGUUAAACCAGAAAUUGGCUUUUCUCAUUCAAGAAAAUGCAAGUCUUUUUCAACAAAAUAAACAACUAAAGACUGACAAUAAAAGUCUUGUAAGAGCCGGAUGUAAUGUUCAAAAUGAGCUUGAUAGAAAGACAAAUAUUUGUGAAAUGCUGAAGGAAAGACAUUGUGAUUUGAAAAAAAGGAUGGACAACUUGGAUGAGACUUUGAAAGCAAGAAAGCAGGAGUUUAUCAAAAGGAACAUGUCAUCUACACAUCCUACUACUUUUCAAAGAACAUUUGCACACAACAAAAAUGCACAUGGUUUCACAACAUAUAGAAGAGGUGGAUUGAGAUAUGUCAAACCAGUACAUGUUAAGGACUCUUCCAUUAUGUGUGGUUUUUGUUGUCAAAGAGGGUAUUUGAAAGGUGAUUGCUAUGUGAAAAGAAAUCUGAACAAAGGGAUGAAAUGCAUGUGGUUAGUUAGAUACAAUGCUAACUAUUGAGGACCCAAAAAUUAAAAUGGGUACCAAACACUUUCUCUUUUCAGGAAAAAUGCUCAAACAAGUCCAAAUGGUUUAUUGAUAGCGGUUGCUCAAGGCAUAUGACCGGUGAUCCCUCUUUGUUCAUAAAGCUGAAAUCAAAGUCAAGUGGAAAAGUGACAUUUGGUGAUGAUGUGAAAGCUAAGACAAUUGGAAUAGGUGAUGUUGGUAAGGAUGGUGAUACUUUUGUCCAUAAUGUGCUCUUAGUUGAUAACUUAAGUUAUAACUUGCUUAGUGUUAGUCAAUUGUGUGAUAAAGACUUGAAUGUGUUGUUUAAAAAACAUGAAUGCAUUGUGCUUGAUUCCAAAUAUAAUAUUGUGUUCAAAGGUAAGAGGUUCAACGACAUAUAUAUUGUGGUUCUUGAUAAAAUUGAUUCUUCUAGCUUAAAAUGUCUUAAAGCUUCAAAUGAAGAUCCUUGUUGUGGCAUAGAAGACUUUGUCAUUUUAACAUGGAUUUACUAAAGGAAAUUUCGAAAAAGGAGUUGGUUAGAGGCUUGCCAAAAAUCAGUUUUGAUAAGGACAAAGUAUGUGAUGCAUGUCAAUUUGGGAAGCAAACAAAAAAUUCUUUUAAACCUAAGAUGUGUGUAUCUACUUCUAAACCUUUGGAACUCUUGCAUCUUGAUUUAUUUGGUCCCACUCAAAUUACUAGCUUGGGAGGUAAAAGAUAUUGUUUUGUAAUUGUUGAUGAUUAUUCUAGAUACACUUGGGUGAUAUUUCUUGCUCAUAAAGAUGAUGCCUUCAAGAAUUUUACUUCAUUGUUUGCUAAAGUGCAAAAUCUGCUUGGGUUAAAAAUUGUUAGGAUUAGAAGUGAUAAUGGGACGGAAUUCAAGUAUUGUGGUUUUCCAGAAUUUUGUGAUCAUAAUGGUAUAACACAUGAGUUCUCUAUUGCAAGGACUCCACAGCAAAAUGGUGUUGUAGAAAGGAAAAACAGGACUCUUCAAGAGGCUGCUAGAACUAUGUUGAAUGAAUGUAGGUUGCCUAAAUAUCUUUGGGCUGAAGCGGUAAACACUGCAUGUUAUGUGAUGAAUAGAAUACUCUUGAGACCUAUUUUAAAGAAAACUCCUUAUGAGCUGAUUUUUGAUAAGAAACCUACGGUUGGUUAUUUCAAAGUAUUUGGUUGUAAAUGCUUUAUUUUGAAUCUAAAGGAACAUCUUGGUAAGUUUGAUAAAAAAUCUGAUGUAGGAAUAUUUUUGGGGUACUGUGAGAAUAAAAGAGGAUAUAGAGUUUUUAAUAGAAGGACUCUUGUGAUUGAAGAAGCUAUACAUAUAACAUUUGAUGAAACCAAUGAUGAUAAUUCCAAAAGUUCGUGUGAGGAUGAUGAUGUAGGUGUUCGAGAAGGAAUGGAAAAGCUAUCAAUUGGAAAUGAAGGAAGCUCUAAACCAGCAGCAACUGAAAUGGAAAAUGAAGUUCAUAAUGAUCAAGAAGAGGAAGAUGAAGACAGAAAUGAUGAUCCACUCAAAGAUCUUCCCAAGGCUUGGAAAUUCAGCCAAAAUCAUCCAAAAGAGCUUAUAAUUGGUGAUCCAUCCGAGAAGGUAAACACUCGUUCCUCAUCUAGAAAAUUGAUUGACAAUUUUGCUUUAGUUUCUCUUUUUGAACCUAAAAAUAUCAAUGAUGCUUUAAAGGAUGAAAACUGAAUUUUGGCAAUGCAAGAGGAACUUAAUCAAUUUGAGAGAAAUGAAGUUUGGACACUUGUUAAUAGACCUCAAAAUCAACCUAUCAUUGGCACAAAGUGGAUUUUUAGAAAUAAGUUGGAUGAUAAAGGUGUUGUUGUGAGAAAUAAAGCCAGAUUAGUUGCUAAAGGAUAUGCACAAGAAGAAGGAAUUGAUUUUGAUGAAACAUUUGCUCCCGUAGCUAGAUUAGAAUCUAUUAGAAUGCUUCUUGCUUUUGCAUGCUUUAAAGGCUUCAAAUUGUUUCAAAUGGAUGUUAAAAGUGCUUUUUUAAAUGGUUUCAUUGAUCAAGAAGUAUAUGUGGAUCAAUCUCCCGGUUUUGAAAAUACAAAAUUUCCAAGUCUUGUGUUUAAACUAUCUAAAGCUUUAUAUGGUCUAAAACAGGCUCCAAGAGCUUGGUAUGAAAGACUAAGUGGUUUUUUGAUUGAAAAUGGUUUCAAAAGGGGUGUUGUGGACACCACACUUUUUACUAAGCAAGUGUUGAAUGACCUUCUUAUUGUGCAAAUAUAUGUUGAUGAUAUUAUUUUUGGUGCUACUAAUGAGUAUCUAUGUAAGGAGUUUUCCACCACUAUGCAAAGUGAAUUUGAAAUGAGUAUGAUGGGAGAAUUAAAUUUCUUCCUUGGACUUCAAAUACAUCAAGCUCUUGAGGGAAUGUUUAUAAAUCAAGCAAAAUAUACCAAGGAAUUGCUGAAAAGGUUUGGCAUGGAGAACUCAAAGCAAGUUGGAACUCCAAUGUGCACUUCUACAAAACUUGACAAAGAUGAAGAAGGUAAUCAUGUGGAUGAAAAGCAUUAUAGAGGUAUGAUCGGAAGCCUACUCUAUUUAACCGCAAGUAGACCUGAUAUUAUGUUUGCUGUUUGCUUGUGUGCUAGAUUUCAAUCUUGUCCAAAAGAAUCACAUUUGAAUGCUGUAAAAAGGAUUUUUAGGUAUUUGAAAGGUGACUAUGGUCUUUGGUAUGCUAGAUCUAAUGAGUUUGCACUAUAUGGUUAUUCGGAUGCUGAUUUUGGAGGUUGUCGUGUGGAUAGAAAGAGUACUAGUGGAACUUGUCAUUUUCUUGGAAAUUGUUUAGUCUCUUGGUUUAGAAAGAAACAAUGUGCAAUCUCUCUGUCUACAACCGAAGUGGAAUAUAUUGCUGCUAGUACAUGUUGUGCUCAACUUUUAUGGAUGAAGCACACCUUGAAUGAUUUUGGAUUGUUGUAUGACUGCAUGCAUAUAUUCUGUGAUAAUACUAGUGCUAUAAAUUUGACCAAAAAUCCUAUUCAUCAUUCUAGGACAAAGCACAUAGAUAUAAAGCAUCACUUUAUUCGUGAUCUUGUUCAAAAAGGUGAAAUAUGUGUAAAUUAUGUUUGUUCUAAAGAUCAAUUUGCGGAUAUUUUUACAAAAGCUUUGCCAUUAGAUCAGUUCAUUCAUCUAAGAUCAAAAUUAGGAAUAAUCGAAAAAUCAUCUUAAUUUUUGGGUCUUCGGACGUCCGAAAGAAGAUGAACGGACGUCCGAUAAUGUUCUUCAGCCAUUUUCCAGAUUGCGCCUGUUCGGACGCAGCUGUCGGACGCGCAACGUCGUUCGGCCGUCCGACAGUGCAACGGAUCAAUUUUUUAAAUAACCUUCUUUCUCAUUUGCUUCAGACUCUUCCUAUUCUAUUUCCUCUCGAACGAAAACUCUCUCUUCCCUCACUCUCAAAUUCGUACCAUUUUGAAGCUCUCAUUCUCAAAUUGACUCAAACAAAACUUUUUCUGACUGAUUGCGAUUCAUUUCUCCUGAUCAUUUCCCCGAAUCGUAUAACAUUUCACAAAUUCCCAAAUUUCCUUCAAAACCCUACUUUCUCAUAACCGCUCUGCCAUAUCUUGUUUAAGGCCUUUUUGUCCCAAAAUUUCUGUGCAAAUCACUUCCCUACUACUGUGUGCAUCAUUUGCAUUCUUCAUUCCACACAUUUCACACAAUGGUGAAUCUGAGAGGAGGAAAGGUUACUGCCGGACGCAAGCAUCCACUCAGGGAUGAGGAUGAGGAUCUUCCUACGGUCAAACGUUCAUCCAAACGCUUCAAGAGAGGAGCCAUAAAGGGUCAAAUGUCACGGCCUACUCCUCAACCCACCUCUCAGCCUGAAUCUGGACAGGGAACCUCUGCUCAACCGCCUCCAAAAUCAGCCCCACCCCCUACAUUCUUUGAUGAUACAGCAAGAGACAAACACUCCUUGAUAUCCCAGAAAGGUGUCAUCCCUCAACGUACUGUAAACCCUUCUGAAUUUCGUCUCAUAGGUUUAGAAACCAUUCUGAAGUUGUUUGCUUUUCAGAAAUGGUCGCAUAUCAUUUCUAUGCCAAAUGUUUACUAUCCUGAAAUGCUGCAUCAAUUUUUUGCUAAUCUUAGAAAAGGGUCUGACCAAACUGAAAUCUUUUCCAGGGUUAAUGGGGUAGACUUAAUCUUUGACUCUGAAAUUGUGAAUUCCAUUUUAAAUACUACCAUUGAACGUGGGUGCAAGGAUAAGAUUGCAAAUUUCUUUUCCUAUGAAGAGCACCCUAAUGCUGAUAAUCAUUUUGAUGGGGCUAAAAUGAUGACCUAUUUUAAAAGAAGUUUUUCCUCCCCUGCUGAUGCUAAACUGAAUGAUCUUGCCCCUGUGAAUUUAAUUGCUUUUUCUAUCAUUUCAAACCUGCUUGUGCCUACUGAUGGCCAUAGAACUGAUGCAAAUAAAAUGGAGUUGUACCUCUUUUAUUGUUUUCGAGAAAAAAUUCGGAUUGAUUUUGGUUUUGUCAUGUGCAAGUUUUUACUUCGCUAUACCACUGACUCUCGCAGAAAACUAUCCUAUGGAAAGUUUCUUCAAAAGAUUUUUGAGUUUUUCAAAGUUCCAAUUUUAGGUGUUUGUCCCAAAGAAGCAUCUUCUUAUGCCUUUACCAAAGGAUACUUUGAAAGGAAAAAUCUUGUUUUUAAAGAUAAUAUGUGGUCUUAUAAAGAGGCAUCGUCCAGUGAACAUAGGUCUAAAGCUGCACAUGAUCCUUCAUCUAUUCCACUCACUCCCAUUCAUCCUAGGAAAUCUGCCACUAAGGCAUCUUCCUCCUCCAAUGAUGGAGUGAUUGAGCGUCUUCAUGAACUCAAACAGCAUGUUCUUCUUCUAGAACAUGGCCUAAUGCUCACCAUGUCCUCUGAGCAACAAACUACCUUUCUAGACAAAAAGAACCUUCUCUUUCCCCCACCUGUGGUUGAGGAAGUGUCCCAUGACAAAGAGCCACACCCCACUGAUCCAAGCUCAUCAAUUCCAGACCCUGGUUCAUCAACUCCUGUGACUCCUCAUGGUCCUUCCACAACAGAUAAAGGCAAGGAACCAGUUGAAGUGGAUGCUGAAGCUGAUGAAGAAACUGAAGAGGAGGACCUCUCGCAAUAUCAGCUCUCUCGAAGAACUCCUGGAUCCACAUAGUUCACUACUUAGGACAUUUGCAUUCUGUUUGUCUAUUUUAUGUGUUUUGUAAUGGUCAACAUUUGUAACCUUCUUUUAAUGUUUCUCUUGUUGGUACUGUAUGUUUAUGUUAAGUAUUUUGAAUGAUGACUGUGUUUAUGGAUGUUUAAGUAUUUUGAUGCAAUGAAUUUGGUUUUCAUUGAUGAAUGUGUUUGUGGAUGUGUUGAUGUGAUUGGUUGCCCUUUUGUGAUGACAAAAAGGGGGAGAGGACUGGAUUGAUUGAUGAUUGGUAUUGAUUGAUGAUUGAUGAUUGGUAUUGAUUGAUGAUUGAUGAUUGGUGAUGUUGGAUAUGUUGGAUUGAUUGUUUAAAUUGGCUGAUAUGCUUAAUUGUCAUAUUUUUGGAAAAUUGUUUAACUCGGAUGGGCAGCCAAGUGAGGGGGAGCUUUUUCAAAAUUUUCAAAAUUUUAUGAUUCACUAAAUAAGGGGGAGUUCGUGAGAAAGGGGGAGCUUAUAAUGCAAUCAUCAAAUUUCAUUUCAAACUUUUGUUUUGUCAUCAUCAAAAAGGGGGAGAAUGUUAUUCUUGGUUUUGAUGAUCACAAAAGUUUGUUGAAAUGUUUAUACAGUCCAACAAAGUGAACACUUUGAUCAGGCCUGAUGGAACAAAGUAAGCAUAUGUUCGAUUAACUCCAGACUACGAUGCUUUGGAUGUGGCAAACAAGAUUGGAAUAAUAUAAACAAAUUUAGUCAUUGUUUUGUUCCGAUCAAAGAUACUGUCUUUUAAGUAUGACAAUUUUGUUAGUCUUGGUUCCUUGAAAUGUUUUAUCUAACUUUCUUCAAAUAUAAGUGUUGUUGCCUAUCAAAGAAUCAGGUACGAAUAUGUCGUGAGCAAAAACAGGACACUCAUGUCGGACGGCCGAAAGUAAUCUGUCGGACGUCCGAAGGGAUGAAGAACAUCAGGAAGGAGUUUCUGUCGGACGCACAUCGAUCGUGUCGGACGUCCUAAAAAUUCCACAAAGCUUUGAUGACUCUCUGCCAAGACACUGUCGGACGCUCGCAAGGAAGCAUCGGACGUCCUGAAGGAUCGGACGCAUGCUUCGGACGAACAUCAAGAUCAUCGGACGUCCUAAAAAUUCCUCAAAGAUUUGAUAACUCUCUGGACGACGUUCGGACACUGAAGCUCGGACGAUAAAAUUCCAUCGGACAUCCGAACUUCAAUUUGGCUGAUUUUCGGACGAUUGGUUCGGACGAUAAUUUGAUCGUCGGACGUCCGAAAGCCCCAACGGCUAGCUGACUCUUCAUCUGCCUUCUAUCCGUUGGAAGCUUUAAUGAAGCCCAUUUUUGUUCCCCUUUAAAAACAAACUGUUCUGAACGAAGUAAGAACUUUUGCACACUUGGUCUACAAGAUCUCAAGAGAUAUUUUAGCUAGAAAAUAGUCUCCAAAGUUAGAUUUGUUCUCUAAGUGGUGUGAACUUCUUGUGGGCUUUUCUCUUGUGGUUGAAAGUUUCAUUAGUGUAGCUUUGUUGAGGGUUAUCCGAGUGUUUGUAAAACUUCGUAGCUUGACUAAGUGAGGCUUAGGGCAAGGAGGAAGUGCUCCCUCCAUUGUACAUCUAGUUGAUCAUAUUUCAUCAAAGAGAAGUUGCUCAACCUUGUGAUUGGUCUUCAAGUUUGAGGAAAUCUUGGUAGACAAUUGGUUUGAUUUCCUAUUAUUCUUUUUGUUUAAUAAAAUUCUCAUUGCUUAUAUAAACUUGUUUUUCUGAUCAAUAUUGCUAUUGUCUUCUAAUCUACUUGGUUGAUCUUUACUAGAAAAGAAAGUAAAUUUUUAUUAAAGAAAAAGUGCAUAAAUUUGGUUAAGAUUUUAAUCAACCCAAUUCACCCCCCCUCUUGGUUGUCUUUGGGACUUACAAGAUUCAGCUCGGUUGUUACCAAAAGUUCAUCAAUCAACCAGGAAGUUGUUCGGCCACUCUCGGAUGAGCUUGCAGGCAAGCCGAUUCUGUUUCAUCUCUUCUUUUCUAGCUUAAUCCGAACUAACUAACUUCAUGCAAGACUUAAUCACCUAGUUCUUAGUUAGUUAACAACAUUUAAAAGCUCAGAUUACUCCAAAGAAACAAGAUUAAAGCUGCAUUUCUGUUUCAGCUUCUCGGCAAAACUAUUUCCAUCAAAAAUCAGAUUUUCCUUUUCUUUGAUUUCCUCAUCCGGACACUCCAACCUCACAUGCAAGUCCAUAUACAGCUUAAUCUACCUAUAAUCUAUUGGUUUCAGUCCAGAGAUUACCUCUACUGGAAGCUUACACACGCGGCAGAAGCUGAAGUUGUCUUACUCUCCUCACGGCUAACUCACGCACGCGAUGGAUGAUUGGCUGCUGUCUUGGUUGCCGGUGGUUGCAGGUGUGGUGGUGUUGCGGUUGGAGAUGGAUUGUAGCUGGUUGAAGUGAAGGUGGAGAGUGCAGCAGCAGCUCACGCACUGUCUCUUCCCUCAAGCUCACGGACAGAACAGAAGACUCGCAGCUCACACGCUUCCUUUCUUUUCUUUUCUCUCGGUUGCAGGCUGCAGCUCUCUCCCUCUCAAUCGAUGAUCACGAGGUAAGGGUAUGAAGUGAAGUGGUUGUGUUUGAGGUGAGCUAAUGGAGAGGAUUUGCGGAUGGAGAAGGGUUGAGUGUUGAAAGGAGAAAGAAAUUGCAUUCGACAGGAAUGGAAAUGUUGUCUUUUAUGGUUGGCCGAGAGUGGUUUUGUGGUUGCAUGGUAGUUUUCCGAGGGUGUGGAGGCUAUUUUAGUCUUUUCACGUCUCUUCCAACUUUUCCACUUAAGUCCUAAAUUUUAACCAACUUCUAAAGUUUACCCCAAAAGUAGUUUAAACAUCUAAUGAUACACUAAUCUCGCAGGAGUUCGAUUAUCGAGAUUUUAACGUCAUAAGUAUACUUAGUGUUCUUGUAACGAUUUUGUCUACAAUUUAUCAACCUCCUCUUAUUACUAAGGUUCCUAUAACCCUUAACAUUAUUAACGAUGAAAAUUAGCUAUUGGAAUUCAAAGAAUUAAUUAUUAAGUCAAUGAAAUAUUUUACCUUAGAAAUAUUAAUUUAGUAAAACAAAACCAAGUAAUUUAAUAGUUUAGCACAAUUAUAUUAUUUUUCACAUAAAAUUAUUAUUAUUAUUUUUUUUUUUAAUAACUCAAGAAAAUAAAAUAAAUUCAAAAUAUAUGUAAUUUCUCAAAUCGAUUAUUUACUCCAGUCGCGUAUUUACUAUUUUCACUUAACGAGCCUUCAGAAAUUAAUUUUCGAAACAAAUCACUUUAAAAAUAUAACUAAGCUAUGGAUAUAUUUAAUUAGGCCUAAAAAGGUUAGAAAAUAAUAAUCGGAGAAAUCGGAUGAGUAAAUACUUAUUUGAGCCAAUAAAAUAAAUAAAAUAAGCAAAAUUUUCGGGUCCUCACAACCUACCCUCCUUAAAGAGAAUUUCGUCCUCGAAAUUCAUAUCUUCUGAAAUCUCUUUCCCACUUGUUUCUUAUAACAUUCCACCAUGCUCGAGCCGGUCCUUCAAGUUGGAACACAGCAAAAUUUACUUCUCUCUCCUCGGAAUAAUCUAGUGCAUCAAAUAUAUUUCUUAUAUUCUCCAACCAAUUCUCAGCUAUAUCGGGGUUUAGACCCCCAGAAAAUUUAGGAGGGAAAAACUUUUGAAAUCUCUCUAAAGCCCUAUCCUCUCCUAUUUCUUGGUUUCCAAGUUGGUUCACUUGUCCAAUUCCCUGGCCUUGUUGGGACACCAAUCGCUCUAGUAUGUCUGUCAUGCGAGUCAAAACUAACCCAAUUUGGUUUUCUACCCCAACCCUAGGUUCAACGUUUCGGUCGGCGGUAGAUUCUCUAUCUCCUUCUUGAUUUCGAUGUCGUCUAGGUUGACGCCCACGUCGUCGUCUCCCAGCUUCCAUUCUCACAACUAAUCUAUACAUGUACGUGUAAAUGGCUUACUAAACCAAAAAUUAUCUAUGCACACGUGUAUUUAAUAAUUUUCAAAAUGAGCAAUAAAACUAUAUCCACAGAUAACAUUUUCACAAAUGACACAUUCACAGUUAACAUAGAAUUUAAACUAGUCUCAAUUAAGUUGCAUGCCAUUACAAAAUUAGAGCUAAUCAAGUCAUAAUAAAAGUUGAAAUCAAAGGUCAUUUAUCCAAAGUUUAAAAAUCUUUAGCAAGCCAGCCAAUAACUAAAGUACAUUCAUCUCCAAAAAUAACCAACCUUGGGAUUUCUAGUUAAAGCCUCAAGUCCCAUGUUCAAACUCAGAGAAUAUGUACAACUGGCUCACUUAAGCGUCAAGUGGGAAUCGAGUCAAUUCGCACUAGGACUGGCCAUCUCCAGAUGCAAAUCAACUCAAUCACUACUAUUCCUCAAAGAAAAUUUCACAAAAGGCUCACUCAAGCAAUCGAUCCAAGAUUCACAUUCAAUUUCAUAAAUAUACUUACGAAGAUUACAAGCCCAGAGGAUACCUCGAAUCUUACGAUUUACCCAGUCAAAUUCGAUCUUAUAGAUAUCAACUAGUACCAAUGUUCAAGAAACUCAACUAUCACUUUUCAGAUCAAUUCUCACACAAUUCUCUUCAGUUUCUUACAAUAUAAGAAACCCUAGUGUGCAAACCCACUUAAAAACAAACACUUCAAUAUUACUCAAUCAAUAAUCAAGUGUUAAGGUCACAUUCCACUUACUAAACAAUCAAACUCCACAGUCCGGCAUCCUAUGCUUAAAGCCUAAGAUACACUACAAAGAUCUAGAGCCUAAGCUCUGAUACCACCUGUGGCGACCCCACUUCCCCCUAAGGCGAACCAGAGGGUUGGCGGGCCGUCUGCCUAGCUCUCGCCAGGACUCACGCAAGCAAGCUAGCAAAAAUCCUUCCGAAGUAUAACCUAAUCUAUUACAACAUCGUUUCCCUCCAAAUAGGCCGGUUUCUAGAAUCACAUUAACUUCAGAGAUAACAGUGCCUUAAGAUAGCCAACGUCGAUUCUUGAAAUACCUUCCCGAUUACAACCCAAGAAACAAAACAUACAAUUCAAAUACAUCCUUACAAGCCAAGUAACAAAUUCAUACAAGCCACAUACAAAUCCAGGGUUUACACUUUUCCCACUUCAAGUGGCAACCCAAGGCAAAACUACAUUGUUUAACUCGAAUUACAAUCCUAAAAGUAAACAAUCUAGUACUACUUCCGGGCACCCUUGGUCUCAAACCCUGUAAAAGUAAACCACAACCUGGGAUGAGCUACACAGCCCAAUGAGGUUCCAAGACACUCUAACAGUUCAAACAAAUCAAGAAAGUUGUGCAUGUCAUAUGCAUGGUUCGAGGUUACACAAUGGCAGGUUAUCAUGAGGUGAUAAUCAUUACUCGGGUAAUUGCUACUUUGAAAACACAUGUAGUAGUAGUACUUUUGCUGGUAACUUUACUAUGAGUACAACUCAUAAAUUAUCUAAAAUCACUAACGUAUUUUUGGAAUGAAUGACCAUAUACAUAUAUUUUCAUGAAUUUAAACACAAAAGGAUACAGUACUCGGUCCACUUCCCGUCCUUAUAACUCCCAUCGGUAACUCCUUCGGUUGACUGGCCAUCACCUUAUCCCUCCAGUGGUAGUACUCGAGUAUACCGAAACGGUUGUCCAGGGUUCCAACCUACCCGACCGAGUCCAGUCCUGGCUCGAGUAGGUCAGUAACCGAGGCAGGGCCCAAGUUCAGCUUAGAGCUUACAACAUACACAGGUAACCAAGUAAUUCGACAAAAGGUAAAAUUCAUCAUUUGAGUAGGUCGAGUGAGGUAAAGUACACACUCGCCUAUCAAUGAUGGACAACUUCAUAUAACAUGUGAUUCAUGAUAAUCAAGUAAUCAAGUGGAUACUUAGCACGUAAGCACGUAAGCAAUACAAGUUGAUUUCAUGGAAGCAUGUAAUUCACGGAUAUCGAAUAGUCAUGUGGGUUGGUAAACGGUUCACGGUUCACGGUUCACGGUUAACGGUUGAGUAGUGGCGGUUAUUUGGCAGGCAUUUGCCAUAUUAAUUGGCCAUCAUUGGCCGUUAUCUUAUUUUUAUCACGCGAGAGUCGAGGAGAUUCACAACACGUAAACUGGUCGAGGGAUUCACCCAACGACGUCACAACACGUAAGAUAUUCACGAAAAUAUUUCACACAAGUCACCAUUCGAAAGGCUAGUGUGAUAAAGUACACACUGCUCACUUCGAUGGAUCAAAAAUCAUUUUCCAAAUUAUCACAUAUCGAGUCAAGAAAGAACUUUAACCAAAUAAGCAUAGAACAAGCAGGGAUACUCAUUUUACAAAACCAAGUAGGUUAAGCAAGUAAUUUAGCAAAUUAAACAUGUAUCGAGUUCAUAUAGUCAUUUGAUAUGGUUAAUCAUUUAACCAAUUCCUGUUGGUAUACAAUGCAAGUAUUCAUUAUUUAUGUAGACAUGAGUAUGGUAAAAACUUAACACUUAAUAAUCAUGAAAUGAGCAUGUCCUAGACUUAUUCAAUUACGUGUUCCUAUAUGGAACACUCACCUAGCAACAAGAGCAAUAGGUUCAAUUUGAAGUUCAAGCGUCCUCUGUCGGAUCCUCUUGAAGGUCCUCGUGUGCGCCUGAACAAAUAGUAAUAGUCUAUCAUUUAUAAUCCCUACUAUUGAUGAAGAUCGUAUCAUAGUACAAUCUUAGGAAAAAAUCUCGUGAAACAAGCCUUAAUUAUCCUAAAUCGAGAUUCUCAAGCGGGGUUUCAAGGUACAAGAGAAAUUAAGUCUACAUCAUGAAAAUCAAGGAUAAAACAUUUGAAUAAUAUCGAAGGAAUAAGGAGUACUUGAAAAACUCCCUUCCGUGAAAUUCGGAAAAUUUUCAGUUUUGAUACGAUACUUUGAAAAAUCGUAUCUCACAUUCUACAUGUGAAAAUUAGAAAGAUUGGUACUAAUGGAAACCUCUUCCAAAGUACUAAAAGUUCCUAGAAUACACUUUUCUAAGAUUCCACAUGGAAAGCAUUCAAAAUAUUCAGUUAGCAAGUCUUUGCCAAACCUUGCAUCAAAUCUGUCUAAAAAUCAGGGUUUUCAAGGACAGAGCAGGUUUCAUAUUUUGAUCACAGAUCACUCAAAUUAACUCGGAAUUUGGCAUGGUUUAAGGCGUUGGAAAAAAAAUUCAUAGAGCUAUAAUUUCACAGAAGAAAUCAUUAUGAAAUUCGGCACACAACUAGCUCGAAUUCGAGCCACAAGUUGCAGCCUCGGCAUUUUGUUCUUGUAAAACAGAGAAACAGAACAGCCGACUUAAAAUGGUUGGUUUGGCUCACAUACAUGGAAUCAGAAUGUGCAUUUUAUAUCGUCGGAAAGGUUGGAAUGUCUAGUUUCAAAUGCCGCUGACGGCACUCGAUUUUGACAUCGUAGCUCAAAAUUAUGGCCGAAAUACGAAAGUUGGUCAGAGCAUUACAAAAACAGUUCCAGAUUUACUAGCUUUGUGAAAUCAUUUUAUUUGACCAACCAAAACUCAAUAUUUUUCAAUGAAACUUUGUACACCAUAUACUCAACAUAUAAACAUGAUAUACAAGUCAUGAAACCCUCAAAAUUUUGCACAAGAGUGGUGCGAUUAAAACAGGGCAAAACUGAACAUUUUUGAACUAUGCAUCCCUCGGCACCAUCAGAAAUUUUCCAGCACUUAGUUGGUCAUAGAACCAAUUUUUUCCUCGGUUAGAUCAUGGUAUUAAGUACUCAAAUCCGACAUGCAAAUACUUGACUAGCUAAUCAGAUCAUCCAAGUCAUUGUGGGAAUUCAUAGAGCCCACUCACCAAGUUUCCAUUAAAACUCAAAAGAGCCACCAUCGGCUAAGCUGGAAAAAAAAUUGCAGCAGCUAUGUUUCAACAUUUUUGGUCAAUUCAUCCAACGGAUCCAGUACUUUACAACUGAAUAUCUUACAAGACUUAAGACACAUAUAUUUCAUGCAUUUCUAAACAUUGUUUGCUAAUGAAAAAUUCCAGAAACAACUGCAAAUUUUUGUUUCACUCCCUUGGCAAGUCACGUAAAUUUUCCAGCAUUUACUCAGUCAUAAACAAAAUUUUCCUUCGGUUAAAACCUUGUAUUUGGCACUUAAAUCUCACAUGCACAACUACUGAACUAAUUAGCUAGCAUUUCCAGUCCAGAUUCAGCUCGGUUGUUACCAAAAGUUCAUCAAUCAACCAGGAAGUUGUUCGGCCACUCUCGGAUGAGCUUGCAGGCAAGCCGAUUCUGUUUCAUCUCUUCUUUUCUAGCUUAAUCCGAACUAACUAACUUCAUGCAAGACUUAAUCACCUAGUUCUUAGUUAGUUAACAACAUUUAAAAGCUCAGAUUACUCCAAAGAAACAAGAUUAAAGCUGCAUUUCUGUUUCAGCUUCUCGGCAAAACUAUUUCCAUCAAAAAUCAGAUUUUCCUUUUCUUUGAUUUCCUCAUCCGGACACUCCAACCUCACAUGCAAGUCCAUAUACAGCUUAAUCUACCUAUAAUCUAUUGGUUUCAGUCCAGAGAUUACCUCUACUGGAAGCUUACACACGCGGCAGAAGCUGAAGUUGUCUUACUCUCCUCACGGCUAACUCACGCACGCGAUGGAUGAUUGGCUGCUGUCUUGGUUGCCGGUGGUUGCAGGUGUGGUGGUGUUGCGGUUGGAGAUGGAUUGUAGCUGGUUGAAGUGAAGGUGGAGAGUGCAGCAGCAGCUCACGCACUGUCUCUUCCCUCAAGCUCACGGACAGAACAGAAGACUCGCAGCUCACACGCUUCCUUUCUUUUCUUUUCUCUCGGUUGCAGGCUGCAGCUCUCUCCCUCUCAAUCGAUGAUCACGAGGUAAGGGUAUGAAGUGAAGUGGUUGUGUUUGAGGUGAGCUAAUGGAGAGGAUUUGCGGAUGGAGAAGGGUUGAGUGUUGAAAGGAGAAAGAAAUUGCAUUCGACAGGAAUGGAAAUGUUGUCUUUUAUGGUUGGCCGAGAGUGGUUUUGUGGUUGCAUGGUAGUUUUCCGAGGGUGUGGAGGCUAUUUUAGUCUUUUCACGUCUCUUCCAACUUUUCCAUUUAAGUCCUAAAUUUUAACCAACUUCUAAAGUUUACCCCAAAAGUAGUUUAAACAUCUAAUGAUACACUAAUCUCGCAGGAGUUCGAUUAUCGAGAUUUUAACGUCAUAAGUAUACUUAGUGUUCUUGUAACGAUUUUGUCUACAAUUUAUCAACCUCCUCUUAUUACUAAGGUUCCUAUAACCCUUAACAUUAUUAACGAUGAAAAUUAGCUAUUGGAAUUCAAAGAAUUAAUUAUUAAGUCAAUGAAAUAUUUUACCUUAGAAAUAUUAAUUUAGUAAAACAAAACCAAGUAAUUUAAUAGUUUAGCACAAUUAUAUUAUUUUUCACAUAAAAUUAUUAUUAUUAUUAUUAUUUUUAAUAACUCAAGAAAAUAAAAUAAAUUCAAAAUAUAUGUAAUUUCUCAAAUCGAUUAUUUACUCCAGUCGCGUAUUUACUAUUUUCACUUAACGAGCCUUCAGAAAUUAAUUUUCGAAACAAAUCACUUUAAAAAUAUAACUAAGCUAUGGAUAUAUUUAAUUAGGCCUAAAAAGGUUAGAAAAUAAUAAUCGGAGAAAUCGGAUGAGUAAAUACUUAUUUGAGCCAAUAAAAUAAAUAAAAUAAGCAAAAUUUUCGGGUCCUCACAGUAGUCGAACCCCCAAGUGCAAGCUUUUAGUCCAAAAGUAUCACCUAUCCUUGUUCAAACCACAAGAGAAAACUUUUGACGCUAAAGUCAAAAAUACAAAUUUAAACGGGAUAAAAUAAGGUUUCAAAUGAGGCGAGGAUAUGGUAAGGUGAUAUAAUAACGUUUACUCUUAUCAAAACAUUCAACAAGCGACUCGGGAAAAAAAAUCACUCGUUCUUUAAAAUACCCUAGUUUUAAGUGAAAACUCAUUUAUAAGUAGUGAUCUAGGGGUUAACAAGGCAUAGUGGUCUAAAAGCCACAAAUUCACCAUCCAAGUACCAAGUUAUAGUUAGAAUUCUUCUUCAUAAGUCCUAUCAUCCUAUACUAAACCUUUAACACCAUCAAAACUGAAAUUUUUGAAUCACCACUCAAACCAUGAAAUUUCUCAUGAAAACUACCAAAAUCAGGCUCUAAAUUCACUCUUAUGCAAGUAUUAAAAGAAAAGAGGGUUUCUUGAUAUAGUUACCUUGAAACCCUAUGAAGAUAUGGCAACAAAGUGCUUCUUUCUCCAACAUCUUUCCACCAAAGCCCUUAAUCCUCCCUAAGUGUCAACUUUUAUGGAGUGAUUUGCAAGAUUAAGGUGAAAACUCAAGAUUCAAGCAAGAACUAGGGGUUGAAGAUGACCUUUCUCUUCCUUUUUUUUCUCUUCAUGGGGGCGGCCAAAUGAAGAAAAAAAAUGAUAGGUUUUGGUCAAAUUUUUUUGGUUUAUCAAAGGAUAAGAAAGGUUGGAGUCAAAGUCAAAAAUCCAAAGCUUUGUUGACAAAUGUCCUCUAAUGGUUAAUCCUCAUCCUAUUGUCUUCCAAAUGCUAAAAUAUCUAGCCAACCUCUAAUUAUCCCUUAACACCUUAUAAGAUAAUAUCCCUUUACACAAAACUCCUCCUAAUCUUCAAAAAUUUAACGCACACACCUCACUAGUGGGUCCCACUUGCAUAAUACAUUACGAACUUAACAUGUACUAACUCAUACAAGGAAAAUGAUUUAAAAACUUGACUCACUUUGUAAAAAUAUCUAGAAAAUUAAGGCAAUAAAGUAAAGUAAAGAAAAUGUAUUCGAAAAAAUAAAACAAAAUAAGGAAAUUUUCGGAUCCUCACACCCUAAGGGGAGGUGGGGUCGUCACAAUUACUCUAGUUGCUCCUUCAUCUACUUUUUUAAAUAUUCUGCACAGGUUUACUAUGGAUAACUAAUCUUCAACUCUUUCUUUGAAAAUGGCCAUGUGGGUUCCUGGGUAGUGGAGCCGUGGUUUUUCUCUGAAUCUCCCACCAAAAUACAUGUGUAUGUUAACUUUAUCCUCGGAUUUCUCCUCUGAUGCUGCAUGAGAAGCAAUAAAGCUCUCACUUUUUAGUAAUUUAUCUUUCGCAAUGACACAAAAAGCUAACAUAACGGAACCAAAACAAACAAUUCAUUAUAGGUGGGAUUGGGGACUACAUUUGACUACAACAUGUCUUCAUGAACCCCAUAUUAAGAUAACAACAGAUUAUCUACCAAUAUUAAUCUACUUUUUCUUGUGAUAAUGAUAUGAAUAUAAUAGCAAGACAGUAGUUUCAUGACACUUCUGCUCAUUAAAUAACUUGAUAGUACAAAUUGAAAGUUUCAUGACACUUCUACUCAAACACAAACAUUUAAGAGGUUGAGUAAUAUUCAAAGACAACCAUAUAUUCAAAUUCGUCAACUAAGAAUCUCUACCAAAAAGCAGAUUCUAAGGCUUUCCAUUUCCAUAGUCAACCAAACACAAAACCCUAACAAAUCUAACAAUCAAUAAUCAAAAUAGCAAAUUGAGGGCAUAAAUCAAAAACCAUAUCUUAACAACAUCCGUAAAUACAACAAAAAUCUUGUCUUUGUUAAAUAAUGGCCUCACUGAUAUCAAUAAAUCACAAUUUCCCUUCCACAAAAUACGCCAAAACCCAGAUCGAAAUAGACUAGGGAUGAUAUACGAACCCAUUUUUCUUCGAUUUUUUGUCGCAAAUCUUCACUUCCUCAUAUUUCCCAUCGAUCUUGUUGUUUGAUUUAAAUAACAAUCGAAAAUUUUGCUGAAAAUUGGCUAAAAAAAGGUUGCUCUCUCUCUCUCUCUCUCUCUCUCUCUCACUUCGUUUGUUUUGAAAGAAUGAAAGUGCUAAAUUAUUUCGGCUAUUUUUUGCUUAUAUUAUUAGGAUAUUUUCAUCUUUUCACUCAGUUCCGUCUGUUUUAACGAUUUCCGUCGAUGAUUUACCUUAUUUCAAAUCAUGAGGUAAUGACACAUAUGAUAUGAAAUCACAGAGGGCUUUUCUGUAUGAUAGUUAUACCAUAGGAGGUUUUCUAUUUUUAACCCUUUCUUUAAUCCCAUAUUAGACGGGGGCUACCUCUAGAACCUGUGGAAUUAAGUGCUACGUCGGAUGGAGGCCACUUAUGUGCAUGCCAUUCUCCUUCAAUGAAUUAUGUUUAUAAAAUAUAUGAAAUGAGAUGACAAAUGUUUUUAAUUGAUGUAUGCAUAUGGUAUGGUGUGAUCAAAUUUGCAAAUGUAUAUAGUAUGUAUAUAACUACAUGAUCCGACAGGGGAGUAAGUACUAUCUAUUGGGUGUACGUCGCUCAACCCACAUCUCAUUUUUUUUUCUUGCAGAUCAAGAAAACCAACUCGUGUACAUUUAGAAGAUAAGUGAGAGGUAAAUAGGUAGAUGUUUAAAUUCAAGAAACUUAAAGCAAAGCAUUUUGUAGAUGCAAUUUAGUGAUGUAUAUGUAUUUCAUUGAUAUCUGUAAAAUUUAAAUUUUAGUGAAAUUGUAAGUUAUAAUCAUGAUGCCUUGUAUUUAUGGAAGUAAGGUCUCAAACAUACAGCGUGCCAUGUUGCAAAUCUAGUUCAGGGAUUCGAAUUCGAGGCGUGACAUUUAAUGGUAUCAGAACUAGGGUUGCAAACGAAUCGAACCAUUCUUGAGCGGUUCGAGUCAAGAUCGACUUGAGCUCGAGUUGGCCGAAUCAAACUCAAGUGCAAAAUAUUAAGUUCUCGCAAGCUCAAGUGUAUAUAUAUAUAUAUACAUAUUAUUUUAAUAAUAAAAUUACAUAUAUUAUUAUUAAUAUUUUAUUAUUUAUUAAGAAAAAAAUAUUAUUUUAUUUAUUUUUAAAUAAAAUAAAAUAAGUAUUUUUAUUUUUUUCGAACUCGAACUUCAAAAUUGUCAGUUCGUCAAGGUCGAGUCCGAGUUUAAUAAAAUUAAGUCAAAACUCGACUCGAUUCAUUUACAGUCCUAAUUAGAACUUAGGCUAUGUGAUCUAAAAGUAUGUGAAAUGAUGUUUGAAAUAUUAGUGAUUUUGAGAAUUGAAAUGAGAUUGGAACUUCCCGCCUUUUUCUUUGUCAACUUUAGCGUGUUAUUCUCCUAUUGCUAAGUAUCAUAGAGUAGUGGUAGAGGCUGAAGUUGGUGUAUGUAUCCACUUCCUCCUAUAACUCCACUAUUCAAACUAUCUCCCACUUUCUCUUCUAUAUACCUGCAACUAUUAUGUAGUUAUUUAUCAGCUCAUUGGAAGCACCUUGCCAUAGUUAAGAUACAAGUAAAGGCAUUUUUUAAAAUAUAUAUUUAUAUUGAGCCAAAGAUAUGCGGAGUAUUACAAUAGUAAUAAAAUUUUAACAAUUGAGAAGUGGGGAUGCAUCUCUUUGUUGAAAGGACAAUAGGUAUUUUGAAGAACUUUAGGAGCUGAUUCAACUCCUAUUGAUUUGAUUGAUUCAAAAGGUUGGUCAUUGCAAAUCACAGCAUGAACAAUUUCUACGCAGAACUAGCAAACCAAACAUAUUUUUUAAGCUAACAACCUCAAGAACAACAUUUCAGCUCAUCAAACACAUAGAACCUGGCAACAAUGCACCAAUAUAUCAAAAUAUUUGGGUGCUAGCUCAAUAAUUACUUAGUUGAUAAUGAGGAAUAUAAACUUCAGAAUCAUAACAAUCAAUAAUGAAUGGCCGAGGCAGAAAGCAAGCUUUGGUCUGGGCUUGCAGGUGAAUGCCAUCUUCAGUUACCUGCACCAGGAGAAGCCAAUUAAGCAACUUUGUACUGCUGAGUGAAGCAAUGCAAAAUGGUAAAGAUGUUGUCAUACUAAAAAAGCAAAACUAAUUAACCUACAUAAAAGAAAUUAACAGCCAUAAAGCAUUCCAUGAUGCAAAACUGCAACAAGAGAUAAUAGUUUUGUUUACUUCUGAUCCAGUGGUAACUAGUAUAACCGAAACUACAAUUCUUAUUUCCCAAGCAUGCCCAUAGAAUGCUAAUAUAUAUAACCGAAGCUCUCUCUAUUUCAUCAAGGACAGAAAUUAUUUAUGGUCCUAAAAGCUGAACAUGCUACAUAAAGGUUUAUGGAACAAGAUUCGUCGCAAGAGUUAUGAUGAAGCAGUUGUGGGAAUGAGGUCAAAGUGUUGAGUGGCAGCUAACAAUUUUGAGUUCCCCUUCACUUUAAGAAUUAGCUAUCAAAGUUCAUUAACUACAAUUAGCAACAAGUCCACCAAUCCCAUCCAGCUUUUGUUGGUAACUUACCAACAAAUCCAACUUAAAUAGGUACCUUGUUAACCUAUAUUGCAGAAUGCGAAUGAUAAUUUGAUAUAUAUACUCAGGCUGACAUUCCCACUAUGGUCAUGUUCCUUCCUUUUGUUUAUUGGACUGUGUUUCUAAACAAGCAGGUAGAGUCAAGCUCCAAUCUUAGCAUCAAAUAGACCUAUCAUCCAAUCUUAGAUAAAGAAAUGAACAGGUGAAAUGUCAACAUAGCUUCAGCUGCUAGCAAUGCAAAACUGUCUCUGUUGAGUUUAUGAAAAAAUGGGGUUCCAGAUUUUUUAAAAAAAAAAAAAAAGGUUAUUUGUGUCUCUAUUGCGUUUAAGAAAUGUAUUGUAAGUGGAUACAUAAGCAUAAAAAACCUUUAAUAGGUUAUGCAUGGGGAAACACAUUCAAGCUUAUUCUAAAACAUCAACACAAUUUUACGAGUGUUGACCAUCUUAUCUCAGUCAUAACUUCGUGUGAAGCAGCUAGUUAUCUAGAAGGGUGACCUGCUACAUGUACACAGUAGUUACACAAAUCAAGAAGAACCAUGUUUGACAGUUCCAUCUAAUUACAUACUUAAAUGAAGGAUGGGAACUGCCCACCAGGCAUGAUACAAAAAUAGUAAAAAUUGUAAAACGAACUAGCAAACAAAGUUUGAACUAUUGACAACUUAGGUUUUCAUCGAAAGGUAACUUCUGGAAAGAAUGCAUGUUGAAACUUUUCCCAGAUUCACUAAAUAAUGACUGCAUAAAAUGGUUGCUUCAAAAGGAUUGUGAGUAUGGUUUAUACCAGACAUUAAUGUACUGAAACCACUUCAACUUUUUAAAAGAUUUGUGGGUACUAAUACAAGCUCUUCAGCUAAGUUGAUCAAGUGAGGACAGUUUGAGCUUGAUUUUCCAACCGAAUAUGUCAUUCGAGUUUUCAGAAGUUUGUGGCUCUUCAAUUAUCAUUAUAGCAAAGGCGUUAUUUGAUGCACUUCUCUCUUCAUGUUCCAGAGCCCCUUACUUCUGUCCAUGAUUCUAAGGUUAGAUACUGUGCAAGAAUGUGCCACUUUUCACUGCUAUAGCCAAUAUGAACUUCACUUUAUGUUUCGAAAUUUAUUCUUUUUUAGUUCAAAAUAAAUUUUUUGUUUAAUUUUAGUUCAGUUACUGGACAUUUUUAGCAUAAGCAUGGAAACCACUCCACCCUUUCAUCUGUUGCAUAUAUGUGUUUAUUGAUGAGGUUUUGAUAUAGCAUAUAUGCAUGUAUUUUGCAUCCAACUUCAUUUACAAUGCAAAAUUAACCAAGUUCACAUAAGUAAAACUUUGAAAAAGAAAAGAACAGAAAAAGUUAGGAAAAUGAACACUGCAAAAUGGCAUUUAUCUAAAGUCAUAGAUGCAAAAAGUUUGGGAGGGCUAAGAGGACCUUAAGGAGGAAGUAUGUCAGACUUUGUCAUCCACUCCUCUACUGUUAGGACAGACAUGAUAAAUCAUUCAACGUUCCACAAUUUCAUAGUUAAUUGAUUUGUAUUCGAGGACUGAGUCAGGGGUCCACGUAUAACACCAAAACCAAAUGAAAUACCAGGGAAAACGUACUGAUGUUUGACUAUUUCAUGUUUUUCUGAAGGAAAAGCAAAUCAUUAUGACUAGUUAGAUUAAUAGGUAGGGUUUAAAUUGGAUUCCUUUGAUCCAGAUCUAGAUCCAUUAAAUUUAGUUAGAUCCAGACCUGGACCCAAACCCUUAUGGGUUUAAAAAAAUAAAUCCAGGCUCAAACUCUCAUGAAUCUGGGUAUCCAAUGGGUAUUCGUUGUAUUUUUCUAAAUAUACUAAAGUAAAAUAUAUAGAGUUCAAAAAUAAUAUAAAUACCAUCCAAUUUUUACUUUUGAAUAAUAAAAUUAAUAUUCAAAAAGUUGAAUGCAAUAUUAUGAUCUAAAAAAAGAAUUAUUAUUAAUUACUGCUAUUUAUUUUCAAAAUUCUAUACCCAUAUCCAAUCUUUUACUUGUUUGCCGUUACUUUUUCUUCUUUACUUUUCUCCUUAUCCUAAAAAAGUUUGUACAAUUACAAUGACAACUAAAAUUAGUUUGAAAAAAUAAAACAAUCAUGAAGUCUUACUAUAUUUGAUUUAAUUCCCAUAGAAUAUUAAAUUAUUUUAUAAAUUUACUUGUGUGUGUUUGGAUUUGGGUAUGGGUCAUGGACAACUAGACCCUACCCAAAUCCAUGACUCUCUUACAGGAUUUGGAUUUGGGUAGGAUCUAAAUUUAAGAAAUUAAAUUCAAACCAUAUCCAAGUAUAUUGAAUCUGGAUUGGAUUUGAGUAAAAUCCAACCCAUUGACAUGCCUAAUUAUGACAGUAACGACAAAAGAAAGCAACAAAUAAACCAAAUUGUUAUUGUGUGUGUGGUCCCCAUCCCCCCCCCCCCCCCCCCCCCCCGGCAAAAAAAAACCCUCAAUAGAUGUUGACAUUUAUUACUACCCAAAAUUAAUAUACCAUGCAUCCAGCAGGAAAAUCUGCAAGUCAUUACCAAGAUAGAUGUAAGAAAAACAUUUGGGGAAGAGAAAAUGCUUGCAAGAGGGCCAGCAUUAAUGUCAUUGUGCUUAGAGGCAGAAGAUAGCAAAUGAAAAAUAAGCAAAGAGAUUUAAUUAUGAGAUUGAACAAAAAGAAUAAAACAUUUUUUUUUGUCCUCACUGAUUUGUACAGAACGGGAGUAUGAAAAUGAAUCAUCAAUGUCAUGAAGUCAAAGCCAUUAGAGAGUCUUGACAUUAAUAUACUAUAAUUGAGUGAGAUCAUCAAGAGCCCUUGAAGGCUGUAGAAGGUUGAAACUGUAUUUAAGUAAUUCAAGCGUCAAUAUUGCUGGAUUAGAUAUUAACUUUAAUGAUAUAGAUAGCAAAUGACCUCAUGUUAUGUAUUCACUCAUAAUCAAGCUCCACUACUUUGUUAUCUAGGUUGAGCCAUAUUCUCCUGCUCUGAAAAGUUUAAUACACCGAAAGAGUUCUAAAUACAAUAUCUUAAUGGAGUAAACACACUUAGUUGGGCGUAAGUAACAACGACUAACAAAUCAUAUAGACUGCUGUAACAAAUGUUUUUCUUGCUUGGUAUUAAAAAGAAAUUUGGCUUUGCCACUUUCAUGUAAGUUACUAGGUAUGUCUUGGUCAAAAGGAAAUCUAAGAAUGUAGUUACUGGAAAAGUUGAUGUAUUGUUACAAUACUAGGUGAAAGGGAAAAAGUUCAGAAUAUUCUUGCCGGAGUAUGGAUGAAAGUUUACAAGAGUGCUGCAAAAUGCUAUUUAACCAGCAUAUGAGGCCAAAAGCCUAAAAAUCUAAUGAAAAGCACAAACUUGCUAAGGAAACUGAUUAAGCAGAAAAAUAUUCUUGAUAAUUCACAUUUUAAAGCCUUCUUAAAACUACCAGGGAGAUUCAGAAUUUUAACAAGAAUGAAGGUUUAAUUGCUUCUUGAAAAAACUUAUAGCUUGUGAUUUUAGACAAAUAUGAGAAACUUCAAAACGAUCUGAAUAUUCUUCUCUAAUAUGUACGCUUCAGCACAUCAUCCUGGAUAAACCCAUGCAUUAGCACCUCCUAGGAGAUUUAUAGUGAGAAGAUCAAUCUCUUGUUAGAGCCAACAUUUAGAUGAAUGAUUUUCCAUACAAAGUUGGGUCAAUUGAGUGUGUGCUACUACCAUAGUUCUAACUAUAAUCAGUUUUCUUGCACUGUUACAUGGUAUUUACAUGCUUAAUAUUGAAUCAUUCUAUAACCUUUAUGAACACGAUUUUCCCUUUCAAAAUAUAAAUAAGACAUUAGACUGGCUUGAUUUUGCAGUUCAUGCCAAAUGACACGUCUGGUAUGGCUUCGCUGUCUACAGUUGAUUCUGGUAUGCAUGAAGACUGAUCGUAUAAUCUGUUCUACCUUCUUUUUUUUUUUUUUGGGUGGAAAACUUUCCUUCUAAGUGGGAGUGGUGUGGGAUGGACUAAUACUCCCAUUUUAAGUCCCAAAAGUUUAACAAAGAAUGCAAAUGCUACCCUAAGCUAUGAAAACUUAUCCUUUUUGUGAAAAGCAUAUGGACCUUUGAAAUUAUUUAUCUCCUUUCCGUUUCUCUGUUCAUGAAUGAUUUGAAAGGUUCCUCACUAUCAAAUUUGGAGAUUUGUGCUUCUUACUUCUAAUGGCUGGCUGCUGUUGGUAUCCCUCACUUACUUUUCAAAGCAACAAGGAAAGAAACAAAGCCAAAAUUGAUAAAAUGGUAAUUGUGCUCAGUAUACACAUGAUUGACUUAGUAAUAAAAAUUUUAGUCCCUGAAAUAUGCUAGUCUCUACAAUGUCAUGUUGCAAUUAUGGUCGUUGUGAUCAAUAGAGUUGGUUGAUUACAAAUUAUCUAUCUUUGUACUAAGCUGCAUAAAGACUCUUGUAAUAUGCCUAAAGAAUCAAGAAUUCAACAUGCGGAUUAGCUUAAGAGGUUAUGGUUAGGUAGAAGUAUCAAAAUUUCGGGGUACAGAUUACCAUCCUAGGUCACUGCAACUAUGCUGCAUAUCUCAAGGAUUAAAAUCUUUCCAACUUACCAAGUUUAGGAGAAAUAAAUUAAUAAUUAAUGGAAAACACUCAAUUGAGUAUCAGAGAAGGAUAUAUGAUUCUUGUAAAUGAAAUGAUGGAGAUUUAUUUAUCUGAAAGAUAAUCCAUAUUGGUUGUCAUUAAAUUAAUUAAUGUUAUUUUAAUGGUUUUACACAUGCAUUUGAAAACUUAAUAAUGAAUAACAGUAAAGUCAAACUUAUACUUACACAGUAAACUGACAUGUGGCAACCUAAAAACAUACCAUAAAAAUACUAUAACCAAAUAAAAUCUUCCAGUAGUCCACUAAUUUUCUUUUUUGCGUUGUGUUUAACUUGAUCCUCUCCUCCCAAAUUCCAAACUUAUCAGCUUAAACCUCAAGCCCUCCAAGAACUCCAAGAGUCAAAGAUUAAACCAAAUAAUGCUUAUUAAGUACAAGUUUAUGAUUGACAAAACACAUUAAGCAGAUACGUACAGAAAAAUAUAAGUUUUAGCAUACAAAAUGAAAAAACUUUGUGGUACAAGUCUGAAAACGAUCACAUUUUUAUUUUUACUUUUUUAAAGAAAAAUGUGCAUAUAGAGGCCCCUAAGCGUAAUCCACAAUGUGAUGGCAUGUAUUUGAUACAAGGCUAUUGCUAUUAGUAUCAGUUUUAGACCCAUUGCCUUUCAGUUGAAUUAUUUGAUCUUCAUGGGAUUUUUCAGCUAAACAUUUUCCACUAGAGGAUAAAGGAAUGCAAUCUUAGCCCCUCUAAAACAGCUUGAUCACAUAUCAAUGCAUAACUCAAGAGGAAACCAUGUAGCACUCAGUAAACAGGGUCGGAGAAUUUUUGGAACAUGCUACAAAUGGGAUAGUUCAUUUCACUAAAAUCUCAAAAUCUCACACAAAAUAUGAAGCUCGCAAAUAUUUAUUUCCCUUUGCUCAAGUCAUUAGUCCAAAAUGCAAACUACCGUGUUAAUGAAGAAAAACAGAAUGCUUAGCAAUAUCAGCCUACCCUUCCUAUCUUCUUGCUUUGACUUGAAAUCCCAUUUAAUGGCCUCUAUAGAGUUCUGAAAGUCUAGCCCUUUAACUUCAAAAACCCACUAAAGUAUCAGUACUGACAAUGCAAGUUUGGACCUUGGACUUGAAAAACAAAAACUUUAUGCACAAAAUUCUAGUUGAAACUCCAAAGGCAUCCAGCUAAUAAACACUAUCCGGAAAGCACUCCCAACGUGCAUGGAUAGACCAUUGCAUUAUAUAUAACACAGAAAAGAUGCAUUCAAGCAAUACAAUGCCAUAUAGUAAGAGAUCCGACAAAUCUUGGAUUGGCUGCCAACCAAUUGACACCUGUUCUAACAGUUAUACUUUUACUUUUGUGGGGGCAGGUCAAGGCAGAAAGAAGGAAAAAAAAAACAAAUAGGAAUCUAGGAAACAAAAGGAAAAGAGUGUGGUUCUGAGCUCCUCCAUUUCUUAAAGUGCACUUCUCUCUCAAAGACUAACACCUGGGCUAGCCAAAGACAUGCUAGAAAGCAACGAGUGCACUUCUUUCUCUGAAAGACUAACACCUGGCCAAGCCAUAGACAUGCUAGAAAGCAGGGAACCAAAGAGGAUAACUAAGCCAGAGACAACAAGCCGUUCCCCAGGUCGCAGGUAUCCAUGCAUGUGCCACAAAAUUAAGACAAACACACCAGAUGGCGCUGAUAAAAGAUACUGCCCAAUAGUUACGCUUUUUAUGAAACCAAGAAAUCGAAAAAAUCAUUCAUGGUACAAUAACACGUAGAUCCGAAAAGAACCCAAACAAUUUGCUUUGGCUAAAGCAUAGCGGAAAACCCUCAAGAACUCGUGCAGUAGGAGGCUAUAAACAAACUAAAAUGUACAGAAUAUAUAACAUUGAACUCCAAGAAUCAGAAAUGUAGUUACCAGGAUAGAAGGUGGGACGAUGACUCAGUUUUUUCCUUUUGACUUGUGGUCAGAAUGGCGGGUACCGUCGCCGUAGCAAAGCUGCAAGCGGGCAUCGAAUCCGGGGAGAAAGUGGUGGUGGUGGUGGUGGUGGUUCUCCACAGGUGCAACAGCAGCAUUAGGUGGAGAUGCGGUUGUGCUGCUGAAGAAAGCCGAUGAUGGUCCGUCUAUGGGCGAAAACCUCUGGACGUGAGGUAACAGAGACGGCGGAGAAGAAGAAUUGGACUGAAGGGUCCCCCUAUUGAAAGCAAGGCCGGAAGAAGAUGGAGAAGAAAUGGUAAAGUUGAGAUUGUAAUCACUGUUACUGCCAUUACCGUUACCAGUAUGAUUACUAUGGCUAUUCCCAUUCCCACCGGCAGCUGUCACAACCGGGACGAGGUGGUCCGGUACAAACGAGAAAUGCGGAAGGUCCGUGUGGUGGCUGUGGUGGUGAUGGUGGUCAGCUGUGAUGGUAA
rnacentral:lncRNA from 1 species